UAGGAAGAAAACGAAUGAAUUUUCAUUAGAGGUCUCACCAUUUUAUAGGUAGUCACAAAGAAAUAUGCAUCAAUAUGGAUGAUCAUCUAUAAAUUCCCAUAAUUUGAUAAAUUUUCAUAUUUUAUAACACUCACCAUUGGAUGAUUAUAAGAAUAUGUCUCAUUAAAACCUUACUAGGAAAAACCUUAUGGAAAAAACCCUAGUGAAAGAAAAAGAGUACAAUAUUAUUUUGAAUUACUACAAUUGCCUUGUUAAAAACCUUGUUAGAAAAACCUAGUGAGACAAAGCCUAGAUGAAGGAAAAAAGAGUACAAUGUAGUGAUAUUCUUAUUAAUUAGCUCUCCCUCAUGUUGAUAUGAUUAUAUUUUCUCUAAUAGCGGAGUAUGGAGAUCUUUGAUUCGACAUAUUCUAAUGAGUUUUUUGAGUAUUGCAGUUGAAAAUGCCUUUGUGAAUAGAUCUGGUAAAUUAUCACUUGAUCUUACUCAUUGAAUAGCAUUUUGAUAACUCUUUUGGAGGUGAUGAAUGUAAAAGAACUUGGGUCAUAUAUGCUUAAUUUUAUCACCCUUAAUACAUCCUUCUUUAAUAUGUGCAAUGCAUACAACAUUAUCUUCAUAUAACUUGGUAACAUUACCUUUAAUGGAGGGUAGUUCACCAUUGAGAUUAAACCCCUAAAAGCAAAACAUAAUGUAACAAAGUUAGACUUAAUUAUCCCUUUGUUAUCCCUUUGGUAUAUUAACAUUGAUUUGAGCAUUCAGCCCCAUGUCUCUUACAUUGUACAUGAUUUGGGUGCAUUAGGAGUUGCAUUCAUGGGUUCCUUAUAAGUAGAUAAGUUGUUCACAAUUGGUUUAUAGAUUUGGGCAAUCUAGUAGAGACUGUAGGGCACCACUUUUUAAUUAGAGGGAUGACUUGUCUUGACCAUUAGAAUGAGUUUCCCAUGGUGAUUGUACUAGUGUAUGUGAUGCACACUAGAUAGAACCUAUGGUGAAUCACUAAGCUACAAUAUUGCAUGGACUCUCAACCUUGAGAGGAUAUUGAGUUUAUACCAAAAUCAACAGGAGGAUUUGACCUAUGGGUGAGACUCUAAAGUGGUCACAUAUCCCUAUGGAUUGGGUCAUUGUUGAUGGAGACUAGUGGCAAUAACCAUUCCCAAUAAAGGCACUAUGAUAUCUCAUGGGAUUGAGACAGUGUGUCCUCUUAAGUGAUCCAAAGGACAUGUGAUCAUGAAAUAUGUGGCCACAAUAAUUCCUUAAGCGGAGUUUGACAUUUGCUAUUUGGAGUUAGAGUACGUCAAUUGAUCACAUAAUAAGUGAGAUCUAUAACUCAAGGAUUUGAGAGGUAAUCCUAAUAGGUGAUAACACUACCUUGUUAGAUUAUGGACAUUAGAUCAUAAGGAGUAUGCAUGUAGUGGAUAGUAGGUCACGGACCUGAGCACUUGAUGUCUCGUUAUAAUAUACAUAGGGUACUGGAGUGCAGUUAACUUUCUGUAGUGAGAUAUUGAGUCAAUUUCAGAAUUUGAUUAUGAGGUAGCUAGUACUCCUAUGGGUCCUAAUGGUCCCCGCUUUGAUUUUAUAUUCCUUGUUGGCAUAAGUUAUGAGGGUUGGAUGGGUUUUUAGUUCACUUUUGUGCAUAAAAGUGUUUGGAUAAUUAUGCAAGGUUGAGUAGGGAUAAGUGAGUGGUAUAUCUAGACUGGGCUAAUCGAUUAAUUAGACCUUUUAUUGUUAAUUAAUCAAUUAGCAACCUUUUUAGGCUAGAUUAAGUGACCCAAGCUCAAAGUGGGCUUAAGUCACUUAAGCCUAGUAAGAAGCCUAUAAAUACCCCUUUAGGGGUCAAAGUUUCCAAGUCUUGCCAUUCUCCCCUUCAGUCUAAAGAGAGAACCUUAGCCUCCACCCUUGAGAUCUCCACCAUCUCAGUGCCUAGACACAAGGAAGAGUCAUUAGGCGGAAAAUCAUAGUAUUUACGAGGUCUAUUAUGACUUUGGAGUUAUCUACAUCGAUUGGAAUUGAUCCGAGAAUAUUUAGAUCAAAGGUAUGUGACUUUAUUCUCUAGAUCUAUGUUUUCUAUGGUAUCAAUAUUAGUUUUUGAAUACCUAUUUAUCCGCUGUGAUAGAUUAAUUGGAGAGCCUAGGAUAGAUUUGCAUGCACCUUACACGACCCGAGGCAUGGGAACAGAGUAAUCCAAGGUUUUCAACAACUGGUAUCAAAGUUCUAGGGUAGGUUCUAGCAUGUUAGAUCUAUUCUACGGUAUGUUAACUCUAUUUUGUAAGGUUGUUUUAUUCAUCCCAUGACCUAAAGGGAUGAAUGAAUGAAAUGUUUUUAUUUGUUCAAUUGAAUUAUUACAGUGAUUAUAAUUGUGAUUGAUUGUUAUUUGUUCUUUUGAAUGAAUAUAAAUGAAUAUGAUCUAUGCCUUAUUGUUCUCUAGAUUGGGUUGUACACCCUGUGAAACCAAGGUUUGGUUAAUCUUGAUUUUGAUGAUAACAAAACAAGGUUUAGAACUAAUGAUCAUAUUUCAAGUGUGAUUAGGCAAGACGACUUCCAAAGUGGCAAUCCAAAGACAAAUCAAGUCAAGGAGAAAUCAUGAAAAAAAAGACCACCUCAAAGAGAAGAGUUUUUCAAGACCAAAGCUUCUUAAGAUCUCUUUGUAAGGUUGUUGGUGCAUUAGGACUUUCAUGUAUUUCAUUCUUUAUUUAUGCACCAAAAUCAUCCAAGAGUAAUAUUGUUUUAAAUAUCUUAAGAAUUCGAUGAUUUCAUGUUUUCAACUAAAACCUUGUGUUAAAUGAUUUUCAAACUUGUGUUAAAAGGUUUUAAGUUGAAAAAGGUUGAGUGUUGAGCCAAAAAAUGACUCAACCAAUUCAACCGGUCGACCGGUUGUGCUCGUUCGGUCGAGGACCGGUUGAGGGAGGCCAAAAAGUUUCUCUCUCUCCUAGUGGCCUUCUUUUCCCGGUCAAGGUUGAACCUUAACCGAUUGAGGUCUGGUCGAGGACCAGUUGAGUUCCGGUUAAGGCCCAACGGUCACUUUUCCUAACGGCUAGUCAACCAGUCGACUCCUAGCUCGACCGGUCAAACCCCCAAUGACUAGUUUGACUUUUUUCUUCUAUAAAAAUACUCCAAUCUUCAUUGUUUCAUAAGCUUAACCUUCCCAAAUCAUUCUUGAUUAUAUUUGAGCCUUGGAAGAGUGUUUUUUUUAGUGCACCAUUAUUUCAUAACUUGCAUAUCUUUAGUGCACCAUUCAAUCCUAGUUUUUCUUGUAUCUUUGAGCCUAAAGUUCUAUUACUAGGAUUUUGAGAGAUCAUUAUUUGUAUAUCUUUGUGAGAAAUUUUCUCAAGUGUGGGGUAUCACUUGAGGGGUUGUUCAAGAGUGGGAUAACUCUUUAGAAGUGUAUAGGGUGCUUGGAGUCAAAAGUCCAAGAGGGUGAAUUGGAACUAUAAUCCAAUUGUAAAGAGAUUGGAAGCUUGGUUGAAGCUUCAAGAUAGUGGAACCCUCACUCGGUUAGGAGGUUGAGGAGAGUGGACGUAGGCAAGGAAGUGCCAAACCACUAUAAACUCUCGUGUUUGCACUCUCUCUUCCCUAACUCUUUUAAAUUAUAUGCAAUUAUGUUUAUUUUGAUUAUUACAUAUUUGCAUAUAAUUGUCUCUUAUUUUUGCAUAGUUUAAAUUUGUGAAAAAGAGACCAUCACCCUAUUUACCCCCCCCCCCCCCCCCCCCUAGGGGGAAUACCAUAGUUUGGAUUAACCUCCAAUUCCUAAAACACCCCCUAAGGGGGUAUAGGUUUUUUUAUUUGGUUGUAAAAAUCUUUUUUUUUUUAUAAAUGGAUUGUAAACUCCAUUUAAGGAGCAUAAAAAUUUUUUAUUGUGUAAAAAAUUUAGUUUUUUUUAUCCCUCUAUGGGGACCCCAAAAAAAAAAAAGGGAACUUAAAAAUUUUUUUUNNNNNNNNNNNNNNNNNNNNNNNNNNNNNNNNNNNNNNNNNNNNNNNNNNNNNNNNNNNNNNNNNNNNNNNNNNNNNNNNNNNNNNNNNNNNNNNNNNNNAAAUUCCAAGGGGGUGAUUUGAAUUUAUAAUCCAUUUUAAAAGAGAUGGGAAGUUUGGUUGAAGCUUCAAGAUAGGGGAACCCUCAUUCGGUUAGGAGGUUGAGGAGAGUGGACGUAGCCAAGAAAGUCCCAAACCCCUAUAAACUUUGGGGUUGGCCUUUUUUUUUCCCUAAUUUUUUUAAAUUAUAGGCAAUUAUUUUUUUUUGGAUUUUUACAUUUUUGCAUAUAAUUUUUUUUUAUUUUUGCAUAGUUAAAAUUUGGAAAAAAGAGACCAUCACCCUAUUUACCCCCCCCCCCCCCCUCCUCUAGGGUGAUUACCAUAGUUUGGAUUAGCCUCAAAUUCCUAACACACCCCAUAAGGAGUAUAGGUUUUUUAUUUGGUUGUAAAAAUCUUUGUUUUUCUAUAAAUGGAUUGUAAGCUCCAUUAAAGGAGCAUAGAAAUUUUUAUUGUUGUAAAAAUUUCAGUUUUUUAUAUCCAUCUAUGGUGACCCAAGAGAAAAUAAGGAAUCUUAAAAGUUCUUUUUGAGAUUCUAUGGUGGUUAAAGAAAAAAGAAGUAUUCUUGAAAGUUAUUGAUUCGAGAUCCUUGGUAGCACAGUGACGUUGACUUGAACUCAAAAUAGGAACUACCUCUUAAUAGUUUCUUGGGGCAAGCGACAUAUUGAUUUGAAGCUUAGGAAGUCACGAAUUUAAUGGUUCAAGCAGGUUGCAAUCCAGAGUUGAAAUGAGGGAGAUAUGGUCGAAUGAAGCAAGGUUGUGCAAAGUGGAUGGCGACAUAGUGAUGUCAACUUUGAGCCAAAAUCGGGGCUACUUCUAUUUAUUUGAUCAAGUCAAAUCAUAUAUGGUUUUGAAGCUUAGGAAUUCAAGAAUUCAACGCUUUAAAUGGAUCACAAUUCGGAGUUGAAACAAGUGAGAUAUGGUCAAUCAAAGCAAUGCUGCACAAAAAGCAUUAAUAUUAUUAUUCAUGUUUUACUAAAAAGAUAUUUAUUUUUUAAUUACAAAAUUAUCUUCAUUUUUAAUAAGACUUGAAUUAAAUUUAAUUUGUAUUAUAUAAACUGAAUUUUCAAUGUUUUAACAAAACCAAAACAAAAAUAUUGUUUUUAAAAACAACUUAUUCAUACAAGUUUUUUAUUUUUUAUUUUUAAAAACAAUUUGUUAAACACUCUUACUUUUAUAGAAAUACUAGAAAGCUAUUUUUUUCUUUUACUUACAAAUGUUUUUUAAAAACAAGUUGUACAAAACAUGGCUAAACGGCCUAAGAUACAAAAUAAUGGGAUAUAAGUAUAAAGUGAUGAAACUAAGGUACAAAACAAUAAAAUCUAGGUACAAAAUAAUAAGAUUAAUUAUAAAACAAUAAAAGCAAGGUACAUAACUAAUGAUACAAAGCAAUAAGUACAAAGCAAUGAGAUACAAAGCAAUAAGUACAAAGCAAUGAGAUCAAAGAUACAAAUGAAUUAGACCCCUGAUGGUUUUUUAAUUUCACUUGGAUUAAAAUUACAAAUUUAUGGAAAGGAAGGAUUAAUCUUGAUCGUGUUAGUUGUAAUAUUGGGAGCACUUACUUAUUUUAUGAGCGCUUUUAAUGAUUUUGGGAAUGGAAAAACAGUAUUUAGCAGUGAAAUUAUGUUAAAAAUUUGCCACCAAAAAAACUUAAUUAUGUGAACAAAAUUUCAAAUUUCCUAUGAUAUCAGUAAAUUUUAUUUUUCAACUGAUAGUAUUGUCUUCUACAUGAAAUAAAUAUUUUUCUAAUUUUUCUUUAAGAUAACAUGAUAGAAAUAUUUUUUAUAAUUUGUUUACUUUUUAACAUAAUAUUUGAUUUGGCUAUUUUAUUUUAUUCUUAUCUAAAUAAUUAAUGAUUAUUAUAAAACUAUUUGUUGCAUGGUAAAUAAAUUUUAUUUUAAAUAAAUCCCAUUCUUAUCUAAAUAAUUAUUGAUUAUGGUAAACAAAUUUUAUUGUAAAUAAAUCUUAUAUAAUCUAUUUUUACUAUUAUUAGAAUAAUAUAUGGAGUGCGUAUUUAAAAAAAAUUAUUUAUUAGUGAUAAUGUUAAUAAAUCUAUAUGAAUAUAUUUUGUUCAAAUUUGUUUUCUUUAAGUUAUUUUUCUAUCUCACUAUUUUAUUUUAUAAUAUUUUAAGUAAAUAAUUUUUUGAUAUAUAACUUUUUAUAAGAAUAUAUUUUUAACUAAAAUAUAUGGUAGAUGGAAAAUGAUAAAGAUGAAAAAGGAAAAAAAGAAUAUGAAAAAGAAAGAGGUAGAAACCGAUGGGAGGAAGCAUCGGUUUUUUUCUUUAGAUUGAAUUACUAGUGCAUAUUUUCCUCAUUCAUAAAUGGUCAAUUUUUUUGGCAGAUGUCUGUGUGUCAUGUCUUUUCAUUCUAAAGCAAUAGCCUAUAAACCUAUUCAUGUGGAUGACAGUUGGACAUUUACUAUUUUAUUAUUUUAUGUGCCACACAAGUAGAUCUACAUCCACACAAGGGCAUGUGGAUGAAAAUGCCAUUGAUGAAUUAAAAUUCUUAAAAGCAGUAGUGAAGGAAACCUUGAGGCUGCAUCCUCCUUUUCCUAUACUACUUCCAAGGGAAUGUAGGGAAAUGCGUAAGAUUAAUGGAUACCGGAUACCCGAGAAGACUAGAAUCAUUGUUAAUGCAUGGGCAAUUGGCUGAGAUUCUGAUUAUUGGGUUGAAGCUGAGAGAUUUUACCCAGAGAGAUUCCUGGAUAGUUCAAUCGAUUACAAGGGUGCUGAUUUUGGAUAUAUUCCAUUUGGUGCUGGAAGAAGGAUAUGUCCAGGCAUACUGUUUGCUAUGCCUAACAUUGAGCUGCCACUGGCAUAUUUGCUCUACCAUUUUGACUGGAAACUCCCGAAUGGAAUGAAGGCAGAGGAUCUAGACAUGACUGAAGCAUUCGGCCUAGCAGUUCGCAGAAAACAAGAUUUGCACUUAAUUCCCAUUCCUUAUAAGCCGUCGCAUGCUGAUUGAUGGGUGUUUUGUGUUUGGAUCAAUUCAAACUUGCUGCAACAUGUAUUAUGACUAUUAUCUAUUUCAACUAUAUAUUAAUAAUUAAUACAAUAAAAGUUGCUACAAGAUAGGUUAGUUGUAAAAAAACAUGUUGUAAAAGUGAUUCUGAGAGGCCUAAAAUCAAAUCCUAAAUGGGCUUCAAUGUCUUGGUUCUAGGCUCGUUAGGUCUGGUUCGGGCGAGAGCCAAUCAAUCAAUGCCAAGGUUUUCAAUCUGAAGUUUGGCAAUUGCCCUGAUUCAAGAUUCUUUGCUAGCUUCCAAUUCUCUAAGCCAUACAAUUGGUGCUAACAACCAAAAUUUGUAGUUCUCCAACUUUUAUGAAUCAUUGUGUUUGGCCCAAGAAGAUAACAAGGAGGUACCACAAAGGAGAUGAUCCUAUUUCAUGCAUAAAAUGCCUUCAGUUUUUUGUUUUGUGCACACAUGAUCAUCAUAUCCCAACAAUUUACACAACCAUAAGCCAUCUAACCUCAUAUCACUUGAGAUGCCAUAUAGAGAAACCAACAGAGCAAGCUUGGAUUGAAUGAACCUUAGGCAGUCGAUCCAACCCUUAAGGUUAGGCUUAUGCAGGAGUAUAGCCCAACCUGACCCUUCCAAGUUAUGACACUAAUUAGGCCACAAACAUAAUCAAGUAGCAUCUUUUUAUUGUCAUAAGAAAUAUUUUUCUUUUUGUCUAUUCUUUCAGUGUAUUCUUUCAAAUUAAGAGUAUGUUUGGCAAUGAUUUUAAGAAAUAUUUAUAAUAUUUUUAACACUUAAAAUCUUUUAUCUUUUAAGUAUUAAAAAAAAAAAAAAACACUUCUUCAAAUCGCUACAAAAUUUAUUGUAAAUCUCUUACAACUGUUCAAACAUCGAAGUCUUGCAGUUGUCUAAUGAUGGAGAAUGCUUCCAACACUCUUUCUAUUAUCUUAGUCUAUAUGCAUAUAUCACUGUACUCUCUAGAACUAAAAAUACCAACUACUGAUAGAAGAAGGGAACACUAUAAGAAGAUAAAUGGAGUAAGUUAAUGCUCAUUCCUUUGGGGCUUCUUAUUCCAGGAGUGCUUCCUCACCUAGUUCCCUAAGACUAAAUUGUUUGGAAGUCACAGCCUAAAAGCCAUUACAUAAGCCAAAUAUGAAUGAUUACUUAGAUAACAAGAACUCAAGUACCCAACUUAGGACAUAACUCAGCAACAUUAAAACUAGGGAGCAAUCCAGAUUAACACUAGAGAUGUCCAUGGAAGUCCUCGAAGAUAUGCCAAGUUAAUCAAGAAAAUGUGAAGGCUCACUUGAACUUCAUUUUAUGAACUAACGCGGGUGUCUAGGACAAUUAACAUAUAGUCUAAAAAUAAAUUAUAUUUAACAUUAAGGUAAAAAAACAAACACCAUUUUAAUUUGUUUAUGGGAAAUUUUUACACAUUUAGACUAAUAUUUUUAAGAUACAUUAUAUAAAAUAUACGAGUGAAUUUAAUGGUUCUUAUUGAUCAUUAAAUUCUAAGUAUGGGAUACUUAUGUAGUAUCCCUUUGCAAUUAUUUUUUGAAUAUGAUUUUAAACCUUCAGAGUAAUAUUUUUUUAAGAUAAAUUAUAAAAAAUAUUUGAGUGAUGAUUUUAAUGACAAUAGGUUUGUGAUAUUUAUGUACUAUCCCUUCACAAUUAUUUUUUGAAUCUGACAUUUUUACACAUUUAGACUAAUAUUUUUAAGAUAUAUUAUAUUAAAUAUUUGAGUAAUUUUAAUGGUUGCUAUUGAUAAUUGGAUUCUAGGUGUGAGAUAUUUUUGUACUAUCAAUUCACAAUUAUUUUUUGAAUCCUUUGUCUUUUUAAAAUAUAUUGUAUAAAAUAUUUGAGUGAUUUUAAUGGUUGCUAUUGAUGGUUGGAUUCUAGGUGACAUAUUUUUGUACUAUCCAUUCACAAUUAUUUUUUGAAUCCUGUACACAUUUAGACUAGUAUUUUUAAAAUAUAUUAUAUAAAAUAUUUGAGUGAUUUUAAUGGUUGCUAUUGAUGGUUGGAUUCUAGGUGAGAUAUUUUUGUACUAUCCAUUCACAAUUAUUUUUUGAAUCCUAUACACAUUUAGACUAGUAUUUUUAAAAUAUAUUAUAUAAAAUAUUUGAGUGAUUUUAAUGGUUGCUAUUGAUGGUUGGAUUUUAAGUCAGAGAUAUUUUUGUACUAUCCAUUCACAAUUAUUGUUUACGCAUUUAGACUAGUAUUUUUAAAAUAUAUUGUAUAAAAUAUUUGAGUGAUUUUAAUGGUUGUCAUUGAUGAUUGGAUCUUAGGAGUGAGAUAUUUUUGUACCAUGCAUUUACAAUUAUUUUUUGAAUCAUUUAUCUUUAUACUUUUCGACUAAUAUUUUUAAGAUAUAUUAUAUAAAAUAUUUGAGUGAUUUUAAUGGUUGCCAAUUAUCAUUGACUUUUAGUUGUGAGACAUUUAUGUUCUAUUCCUUCAUAAUUAUGUUUUUUUGAGUUACUUGAAUGGUUACUUAUGAUCAUUGAAUUGUAGCUGUGGGAGUACUAUCCCUCAAAAAUUAUCUUUUGAAUUGAGUGCAAAUAUUUUUAGCACAUGUUUGAGAAUGAAUUCAUUUCAAUUCAUCUAUCACCUUUCUUAUCAUCCAACUAUGAAAGUUUGCAAACUCACCAUCAUUACAUACCUUUCUUAUCAUUCAACUAAACAACAUUUAAGCUUUAUAAUAUAUAUGUAAUAUGGGUUGGGCUACAUUGUAUGGUACUUUUUUUUUUUUAUCCCUAAAAAAUAUAUCAUCAAUUUGAUGUUGUCAUGUACAUAAUUUUGUAUUUUAUUAUUUAUAUUGUAAUUCCAUUUAUUUAUAUCUUUAUACUUUAAUCUCAUUUAUUUUUACCAUACAUUGUCUAAUGACUUAUAUUUGAUCAAGCAUUUUCAAUGAUUCGGAUUUUUUAUUUAAUAGUUCCAUUAUGGUACCUUAGUAUUAAAAAAAAAAAAAAAACCUUGGAAAGUACAAUGACUUAGAUUUAACCGUUGCCCACAAAAUUAAAUUGAAGGCAUCUUUUCUAAGAAACUGUGACAUCUAUACAUAGUAUUUACAGAUAUAUGGGUAAUUUGGAUAUUAAUUUAAUUCCUUUUUUUUAAAAAAAAAAAAGAAAGAAAAUAAGUGAGAUAUUUUUGGAAUGUUGAAUUAAUGAAAUAUAUUAAUCAAAGAAAAUUAAAAACACAAGUAGCCAAGUAGUUAACUGGACUGUGGGAUUUGUUGAAAUCUCCAGAGUGUUUGACCUUGGAACAAGGCCUCUGGGGGAGCCUGCAGGUAGAAACGAGUGAAGAGGCUAAAUUAAUAAAAAGGGCUAUGGGUUACUGGAUGAAGUGAGGAAAAAGCAAGGGAAAUAGGAAAUUAAUAAUGAGACAGGAAAAUAAUAAAGUAUUAAUGAGAUCUUGGGUUGUGGGCCAGCAGGGAAAAGUAAAAGUAAUUAAUCAAAUGAAAACUUGUGGCCAAUAUGAUGCGAUAGGACAUGCAUCAGACAUGAGCCUCAUGUUCAUCCAUACGAAGUUAGCAGCCAGAAUGACUUAUUUUUUGAAGUUGCCAGCGUGCUUAAAUUGAAGGCAUCUCUAGCAAGAAAUCAACCCGUCACAUUCUAUCUUCACAGCUACUUUCUUUCUCUUUCUGCUCAUGGACGUCCUUUUCUCUUCUAUCCUCUUUGCCUCUCUUCUCUUUCUGUAUAUGCUGUACAAGAUAGGGAAGAGAUGGAGAGGCAACAUCUCCUCACAAAAGCUGCCCCCAGGGCCAUGGAAACUACCUCUUAUUGGAAACAUGCAUCAACUGAUUGAUGGCUCACUUCCUCACCACUCCCUAAGCCGCCUGGCCAAGCAAUACGGGCCUCUCAUGAGCCUCCAACUUGGUGAAAUUUCCACACUCAUUAUUUCAUCACCAGAGAUGGCCAAACAAAUUCUGAAAACCCAUGACAUCAAUUUUGCUCAAAGGGCUUCUUUUUUAGCUACCAACACUGUAUCUUAUCAUUCUACCGACAUUGUUUUCUCUCCAUAUGGCGACUAUUGGAGACAACUUCGAAAAAUUUGUGUAGUUGAACUUCUAACUUCCAAGCGUGUCAAAUCCUUCCAAUUAAUUAGGGAAGAGGAGCUUUCAAAUCUCAUUACAACGCUCGCUUCUUGUUCAAGAUUGCCCAUCAAUCUUACUGACAAACUUUCCUCUUGUACAUUUGCCAUUAUAGCAAGAGCUGCUUUUGGUGAAAAAUGCAAAGAACAAGAUGCCUUCAUAUCUGUCUUGAAGGAAACGUUAGAGCUGGUUUCUGGUCCCUGUGUUGCUGAUAUGUAUCCUUCUGUUAAAUGGCUUGACCUGAUUAGUGGAAUGAGACAUAAAAUUGAGAAGGUAUUUAAGAGGACUGAUAGGAUACUCCAAAACAUUGUUGAUGAGCAUAGAGAGAAAAUGAAAACAGAAGCAGGCAAGCUACAAGGGGAGGAAGAUCUAGUUGAUGUUCUUUUGAAACUUCAACAGCAUGGUGAUCUCGAAUUUCCCUUAACUGACAACAACAUCAAAGCAGUCAUACUGGUUAGUAUCCCAUGUUUUAAUUCAAUUUUGCUAAAAUUUAGUUUUCUUGUUUUUUUUUUUUUUCUUUUAUCCACAACAAAUAUUUUCAACAUCAAAGAUCCCUUCAUGUUUUACAGUAAAUGGAAAAUAUAGGCCUGAUUAAUAUUUUCAACAAUCAACAAUCAUGAGCUACAGUCUCAUAUUGUAAAUGUUUGUAGUUCCCAUUAAAACCAUAAUUAAAAAAAGAUUCUUCCUUUGAGUGAUAUAUUGUACCUAUAGUUUUUUCUCAUCACUUUGAUCUGUCCUCUUCCAGGACAUUUUCGCUGGUGGAGGCGAGACAACAUCUAUUUCUGUGGAGUGGGCAAUGUCCGAAAUGCUGAAAAACCCAAGAGUGAUGGACAAGGCACAAGCUGAGGUAAGGCGGGUGUUUGAUGGAAAAGGGAAUGCGGAUGAGGAAUUAAAAUUCUUAAAAGUAGUAGUGAAAGAAACCUUAAGGCUACACCCUCCUUUUCCUCUACUAAUUCCAAGGGAAUGUAGGGAGAUGUGUGAGAUUAAUGGAUAUGAGAUACCCAAGAAAACUUUAAUCAUUGUUAAUGCAUGGGCCAUUGGCCGGGAUUCUGAUCAUUGGGUUGAAGCUGAGAGAUUUUACCCAGAGAGAUUCCUUGACAGUUCAAUUGAUUACAAGGGUACUGAUUUUGGAUAUAUCCCAUUUGGUGCUGGAAGAAGGAUGUGUCCAGGCAUACUGUUUUCUUUGCCUAUCAUUGAACUGUCACUGGCACAUUUACUCUACAAUUUUGACUGGAAACUCCCAAAUGGAAUGAAGGCAGAUGAUCUAGACAUGACUGAAGCAUUGGGUAUAGCAGUUCGCAGAAAACAAGAUCUGCACUUGAUUCCCAUUCCUUAUAAUCCAUCGCAUGUUCAGUAAUACUACCCCGAAGAAGCGUUAGAUUGAUGGAUGUUUUUUAUUUGGAUUACUGCUCUAUGUAUAUCAUCUUAAACGAUGUUAUCUAUUUCUACCAUAUAUUGUAAUUAAUGCAAUAUAAGUUGCUACCAUAUAAUAAAAAAUUAUAACCUCGCAUUGCUUGAGAUGCCUUAUAGAGAGGCCAACUUAGCAAGCUUGGAUUGAACCUCAGGCAACCUAUCCAACCAUUAAGGUUAGGCUAAUGCAGGUAUGUAACCAGAUGUAAGUAAUACUUACCUUCUUGUCAUCUUUUCAAAAAUCUACCUGUUAGCUUGCAGGAGUUCUCAAUUUGAGUUGGUGAAGCUCCAAUUCAAGGGUUACAUAGUGCAAAUGUUCUCCAUGAAUCUACUAUAAAAUUGACAUGAUACAUUCAAGUGUGAUGGUGUUCAAACAUUAACUUCAUAACACUUAGCAAGCUUGGACUGAAACUCAGCUAACCUAUCCAACCAUUAAGGUUAGGCUAAUGCAGGUGUAUAACCCAUCCAACAAUUUGAAUCUUAUCUAACAAAUAUAGCAAAUAAAAAGCUGCAAAAAUCAAGAUUUAUCUGACAAAUAUUGCAAAUAACUGUCUUAGUCCCAUUAGGGAACUUUAGAAUAGGAGAUCUUUUCAACAAGAAUCUCUAUUGUUGGAGUUGGGUUUGGGUGCCCCCUACCCGACCCAAUAAUAAAAAAAAUGGGAACAGUUUUUGAGUUUAAAAACUAUCCAAAAAUUGUCACUAUCAUAUAUAUAUAUAUAUAUAUAUAUAUGUAUUUCUCCAUUUGUGAAAAGACUUCCUCUCCCUCCCUAAGAACCAGAAAAAACAUGAUUUUUCUUCUUUUUAUGAAAAUGAAGCUCAGAGUACUUGUGCUGUGGAAAUAGAGUGAUUAUUGUAUUUGUAGCCCCAUUCAUAACUUGAAAUGAGAAAAUUUGUUAGUGAAACAACCAAUGCCUAGAAUUCCUUCCUUUAAAGAAGUUUAUUGGAGAUAUAUCUACUAACUAUUGUUUCAGUUUGAACAGAGGAAUUGAUAUUUCAUUUAUAAAAGAAAUGCAGAAGUGUCUCAGAAGUUGCAACACUGUUAGUUCCUUGAGAUUUCCAAGCUCCAUAGGAUUAAUGGUCCCAGAGAGUGCAUUAUGAGCAAGUGACCUAUUCGUAUAAAUCCCACGUAAGGGAUCCAGAGAAAAAUGAACAAAUAUCAGAAGAUGCUCUUAUUUAAAGUUAAGGCUCAUUCAUGGCAGAAGAUGCUCAUUCAUGAUUGAAUAUGAGUUUAAGCAUAACAAGUGAUGAUUAAGUACAAUUGCAACAAUACUUACAAUAAUUACAAUUUGUAUCGUUAAGAAAAAUAUGUAUAUUUUGAAAAAAAAACAUACAUUCUUCACAAAAAUAUCUACAUUUUUUUUAAAGGCUAACCGAAACCCCAUUAGGCUUUAUUUGGGUCUAAAUAUUCAUUUAGAUACCUUGGGAAUUUAUUUGAGUCCUUCCCCCACCUUGAAAUUUAAACCCCAUGUACAUCUUUAAGAAAAAAUAAGCACAUUCUUAAAAAAAAUACAUACAUUUUUUGAGAGGCUAACUAUGACCAAUUAGACCCUAUUAUGUCUUAAGUAUUCAUUUGAGGAACCUUAAGAAUGGAUUUGAGACAUUUUUGCACUUCGAAAUACGAAUUGGAACCAUAUGUACAUUCUUAAGAAAAAUACAUACAUUCUUCACAAAAAAUAUGUAUAUUUUUAUUGAAGGUAAACUGAGAUCCCAAUAGGUCCUUAUAGACCUUCAAUUUUGUUCCUUUAGCAUAUGUCUCUAAAUUCACUUUCAGUGCUCCAUAGUAAUUACUUUGUGGCUCAUAGCUACUUAUACUACUUUUUUUUUUUUUUUAGCCACCUCGGAUACUCUAGUUGAGGGAUUAUUCGGAAGAAAAGGAAAGUGGCAGAUUUUUUGGUAGGAGAAAGGAAAGUUUCCUUUUGACAAAAAAAACAGAGAUAGAAUAAAAGAAAAGGUAGGAAGUUUUAAAAAGGGGACUUUCAGCACGCAUGAGGGAAGGGGAAGGAACGAGUGACAAGUAGAAAGGAUUUUGGGAAUCGUCUUCGUAGGGGAGAAGAACGAUAGUCGGAAACCAAGUGAUUGCAGCCAAGACUGUCCAGGUACGCUUCUGGUUACUCUCGGUGUUCUUACCCAUAUUUGAUUUCUCCAUUUGGUCGUUUCUGAAUUAUUCAAUGUAUUGUUGAUUGGUGUGGACGGAAAAGGGCCACAAGUUGUUUUGUUGAGAUUGAUUGCUUGCUUGUUUGCCUUGUUUUGAUUUUGAUUCCUUUAUAUGCCGUUGAUGCCUGCUGAAAUAUGUGACUUCAUGCCUAAAUUUGAUCAAUGCUCUGUUUAUGUUUAAAUCUUAUUCCUUAUUAUCCCCUUAUCCAGCCCAUGGAUUAACAUAUGAAAUGGAGCUGUCAAUGUUGAUUGAUAUUUUCUGCUCAUCCUUUCUCUGCAUUUACGUUUUUUUUUUUUUUUUAUCUAUGUUCUAUGUUUCCUUUCUCGUACGAUGUUCGAGUCUUUGUGUACUUGGGGCAUGUUUCAAGAGGAUGACAAAAGUGUUGGCACAAGGGAUGAGGUGUGCAGCAAUCCCAGUGUAUUCCGGUGUGUUUCUGUGGGUUGACGACGAAGAUUGAGUGGCUCUCGAAUUCAGUCAAAGUUUCAAUUGCAGUAGACAUUGAUAAUAAGCAGUUUAUCCGACUCUGUAUCUUUCAUGUGACGGCUCUAACUCAUAGGAUAUUGGAAAAUUCUGGAACCUGCUGAUAAUUGGUGGAGAAAUUAAAGACUGAAGCUCUGCGCAAGCCACUGCCAUAGUUUAAUGGUGUCUAGUCUUCCGAUGGUAUAUCUAUCCCUUACACAACACCGUGGUCUUCAAAACGCAUUACUCAGCAUCACUUGGCUCCACUGUUUACGGAAUUUGGGAAUGAUAGCAAAGAUGUUUCAGAAGGCAUUUUGUUUGAGAAGCCCGACAAUUUCUUCAAACAAUCCAAUUCUCUACUGCACUUGGUGAUGUUAUUACUAAAUUCUGAACCGUGAUUGAUUUGUUAAUGGGAUUUUAAGGAUUCGAAUGUGGCUGAGGAGUUUUGCACUUGUUUAUCACAGAAUCGCCAGGGCCUCUGUUUAUUGCCUUUGAGCGAAUCGGGGGUUGGAUUUAAGAAGAAAACGGAAGAGGGUGAUUGAGCAGGGGGUUAGUGAUGAGUGGUUCAUCCAACUUCGCAUUUUCCAUGUGAUAGUUUCAGUUCAUAGAACAGUCAAGGAUUGAAGUUAUAAUGAAGCCUCUGUCACAACUCUCAGAACCCAACCUCCUUCAUCUUCAACUCUUUGAUCAGAGCCCACUCCAAAAGUUCAGCCCCUCAUCAAAGCUUUCACUUCUAUAGCAGAAUUCUUCAUUCUGCUGGCUAUCUGGCCUCUGAUAACUACACUUUCACGUUCUUGGUUCGUACCUUUGCUCAGCUAUUGGCUCAUGGGACUGGUUCGUUUGUACAUGGUGUCGUUCUGAAAUAUGGGUUUGAGCAUGACUCACAUGUUCAAAGUGGUUCAAUUUACAUGUACGUAGGAUUGGGUGGCUUGGCUGCUUGCUAUUGGAUGUUUUCAUCAAUUCGUGAGCCAGAUUUGGUGUUUCAGACUGCAAUGGUCAGUGCAUGUGUCAAGAUGGGAGAUUUUACUUUUGCUCGGAAGUUGUUUGAUAAAAUGCCCUACAAGGACCCUAUUGCAUGGAAUGUAAUGAUUUCGGGAUAUGCGUAAUGUGGGCAGUCAAGAAGGACAUUGAGUUUAUUCAAUUCAAUGAAAAGGCAGGGCGUCACCUUAGAGGGAUGAGUUUCUGAGAUAUCCAUUCGACUCAGAGGCUUCAUGUCCUAUAAUGCCAAAGCAUUUCCUCUUAUUUAUUUAUUGGAUGCUGGAUGUGGCCAAUUUUCUUAUGAAGACAGGGUCAUUGCAUAGCUGGUAUCCUCAUGCCAUGACAUUCCAAACGUUUCUUGAAAAAUCAAGUGAGUGCUUCUUUGGCUACAUAUAUCUCCUUGACUGGCAAAAGUCAUCUACCGAGGAUAUGGUUUCUCUCAGAGAAAAUAAACUUGCUUGGAAUUUACUUAUAGAAGUUAUUCUUAAAAACAUGAGCUUGAAUCAGGGAAGAUCUUAUCUUCACUUGCAACAUUCAGAAUACUUCAACAACCCAUCUACAGUCUUCCUGACCUCAAUGAUAGCUCAGACUAAAGUAUCCCUUGACAGAAUUACAUCCUUUCUUCAUCUCGAUGACUUGCAGAGUGAUGUCAUUGAGAGGCUUCCAAAAGGUAGUUUUGGUAUAGCAAUUGAGAUAGAGGAUGAGAAUUUCUCUUGGGAUUUAUCUUCCCCUAAUCCAACGCUGAAGGAUAUUAAUUUGCGAGUGUGCCGUGGCAUGAGGGUUGCUGUUUGUGGUACUGUAGGCUCAGGUAAGUCAAGUUUACUCUCCUGUAUGAUGGGAGAGGUGCCUAAGAUAUCUGGUAUCCUUAAGCUGUGUGGAACAAAGGCAUAUGUUGCUCAGUCUCCUUGGAUACAGAGUGGCAAGAUGGCAGAGAACAUCUUGUUUGGUAAGGAGAUGGACAGAGAAAGGUAUGAAAGGGUCCUUGAUGCAUGUUACUUGAAGAAGGACCUGGAGGUUCUCUCAUUUGGUGAUCAGACAGUUAUAGGUGAGUGGGGAAUCAAUUUGAGUGGUGGCUAGAAGCAAAGAAUACAGAUUGCAUGUGCACUUUACCAAAACACUGAUAUUUAUCUGUUUGAUGAUCCUUUUAGUGCUGUGGAUGCUCAUACAGGAACCCAUCUCUUUAAGGAAUGUUUGCUUGGUCUCUUGGGUUCAAAAACAGUGAUUUAUGUUACACAUCAAGUAGAGUUCUUACCUGCUGCUGAUCUCAUACUGGUCAUCAAGAUGGAAGCUACCCUGGUACUGGUAAAAUUGAUGAGGUAAGGUCAUGACGGUGGCGAAGGACAACGACACCAAUUAUUAAAUAAGAUGUGCAGUGAAAGAGGUAACAAUGGGGAUGGUGAUCUCUGUCAUGAUAAGGGUUUUGAAGGUCACGAUUCAUGUUUCAAAUGCUCAGAAGUAUGUGAUAGUUUUGAAGUGAAUCAGAAGUCAUUGUCAAGGAGAGCGUGAAGGCUCUGAAGUUACUGACAGUACAGAGGAUUCUCAUAACCUUGUUAUGGAAAAUUUGCUCAUAAGGGACAUGGAAUGGUUCAAUCAGUUUUGACUUCCUUUACAGCUACCAGAAAAUUGCUUUACAAUUAAUAGGGCUCAUGCUUCAUUGGUAGAGACAUUGAUGGGGAUUCAAAGCAAGACGAAAGAGGGAAUUCUGGGGACGUUUGCUGGUCAUCAGACUUUUGGGAAUCUUAUCGUAUUUGCUCUAUUGAAAGACAGAAUUGAAGGGAAAGAACUUUGUCAUCCAAAACUAGUUUGAAUGUGAGAAGAAGGGAAAAUAAUGAUGCAGAUACAAGUGGCCAAAUGUAUUUAAAAUGCACUGUGAAAGAUUCAGAAACAAAGGAGAAUGCAAAUCCAAGCUGCUUAUUAACAUGAAUAUGAAUGGCCAUCAAUCUAGCAGUUUGUUUGCGGCAAGGACUCGAAUGAAAUAUGGUUCUGGUGCCAAGCUCAGUUUUUGGAGUAUACUAGAAGUUGCAGAGAAAUUAUGUGGAUCUUUGCCUGUUUAUCAUCCUGAGGUGCUCCUGAUGAAUAUAUAUUCAGGCGAUUGGAAACGUGCUUAUACAGCUUUGUAGCAUCUUGCUGAAUGUCUUACUUCUACUCAUGCUCCCAAGCGAAGACAUUCCACUGCGAAGUCUAGCCACAUCAUCCCACAGAUUCAAUUGUCAAAUUAUUUUGAAGGACAUCUCUCAAAAGCUUCAACUGACAAAGGAUUUCAAUGGAGUAGGGAGGAUACUUUAGUCACAUCGUCUGCACAAUUAAAGAAAAGUCCAAUCCAGUUUUCAUACAAUUCAGAGUCUGAUGCUCACAGGAAUACGUUCUCUUCUUCUUCCACAAAAUUUGAACUCAGCAGCUUUGAUGAAGCCACAUUUUCUAUUGAUGAUUCUGUAGACCAGAUUGCUGAGGUCCUCAACUCUUUUAGGACUUGGUGCAGUGGUAUACAUGGGAGUAUUGGAUAUGGUAAAUUUUGGAGCCGAAAUCUUUGAGGCCAAAGCCACUAUGUUAGACGAUGCUCAUCCAACCGCUCUCAAGAUUUGAAAGCCUAUUGAAGGAGUUGCUUGAUCAGAAAAGUAUUAUGAAGCAGGCAUUACAUUUCAGAAUAGAGGGUUUAGGAAUUAUCUUGCAUAAGAUUUAGAAUACUGUCACAAAUAUUAAUGAGAAGGAAAUUGUUGUCAACCAGUCGUAAGAUAAAGUUCUUUGUCUCUCCUAUCACUCAUGCUACAGUGCAAUGUAAGGUUGCAUUUGACCUUUCCGAAUCUGUUAAAGUUUUGAAGCAUUUAGCCAAGUCAGAUUCUGCAGUAAUAUAUAUUAUUGAAGAAUCUAGGGAGAAUAUCAUUGCCGAACAGAUUAGGGAAUGAAUGCCUUAAAGAGAAUAUUGAUACAAAAUUCGUUGAGGAUGACAUGUUUAUUGGACAAUUAUUCCUGGAAUGAGAUGGCUCUCUCAGUCCCAGAUUAAAGAGUAAAUGGAUGCAGUAGUUCAAGUACCUCCAAUGGUGAUUUAGGCUCUUCAUCAAGUGAUUCGGACCCGGGCACUUCUUCAGAUAGUGAAUCAGAAGGUGCUUCUACAAUUUUGGUAAUGACCCUGCUGAAGAUAUAUAAUUACCGUGAUCUUAUCAUGAGGACUCCCUAUUCCGUAUAAGGAGAAGGUCUUGAUCUGAGGUAGAAAGAGACAUGGUUUAAUCAGUGACCAAGAGAUACCUGGUUUUCGAAAUGGUUUGGUUCAGAUUCUGUAGCUGUCAGUAGAGAUAUUCUGGCCAGAAUCAUGUAUUCCAAACUAUUGUGGGCAAGAUGAAUGUCUUAAUGUCUUCAGACGCAAUAACUAUGUGACAUGCAUUCAACUCAAUCCUAUUGAUGACAAUUAUUUCAUAAGUAACUUGCUGCUAAUUUUCAUUGCAAGUAUAUCUUUCGGUCGCCAUUUUGCUGCAUAUAUGAUGACUUUGACGGGGUACAGUGAGUCGAUUAAUGCGAAACCUCUUCAUAACUUCCUAAAAUGUUUUGGGAAAUAUCCUUACUAUUGAAAUGAGUUGAGCACCUCCCCAAGAAGUGAUUAUGCAGCAUGUUGAGUUGACUGCCCAAAUCGAAUCACUGUGACAUCAAUAAUGAAGAAACGAUGAGGGCUUAAUGAAGAAACUGUAUCCUGGGAGUUCAGAACUGGAGGUUAUGCGUGACGCUGUUUGAGGUUUACAAUCAGAAAGGUUUCCUAUACAGCCCAGAACAUAGAGGAUGACUGGUUUGGGACUGAAAAGAAGAUGUUCAUCAUUCACCAGCUUCAUCCAAUUCUGGAGACUUUCAUAAUAAGACUUUGGGUUGAAGCUGGUCAUGUCUUUUCUUCAACACAAAUCCUGUUGCCUGCCAAAAGAGGACUCAUUUCUCAUAUCAUAAAAAAUGCUCGUGCCCUUUGAGAAAUCCGUGAGAUUAAUGCGAUUAGAGUUUGCUAGCAAAAGCUCAUUUCCAAGGUGCCAAUUAAAUCAAUUGCCAAAAAGUUCACAGUACACUACUCGUUGGGACUUCAGUUCUUGGUGAUAAUGGAUAUAGGGAGUUUGCUUGUGUUAUUUUGUUCCAGAUAGAGUCUAAAGACAGGUUCUUCUGAUAUAAAAGCCAUUGAAAAUUGAUGUGGGCCACUGAACGUUUCUGCUCAUGACUAGAAGAGUUGUGGGAAAAGUUGGCCAGGUUGUCUGACGACCAUUGAUGUCUGAUCAGUUCGACAUUUUCGACUACAGCAGGCACCAGUUGUGAGUGGUUUUCUCGAGACGUCGUUCCUAAUUCCCGAAAGCAUUUCAGAUCAGUAUGAGACUUCAAGAUGGAAAUUAAAGAAUUUCCCAUGACUCUCAGGUUUGGUACUUUGUUUUGAACAGAAUGGUGUCUCGUGAUUUCUAGGAUAUGGCUCUGUGAUGUUUUUCUCGUCAAUAAAUCCUCAGUUUAUAUUGAACAAAGUUCAAAGAAAUCUCAAGUUCUUGAAGCCUGGUGGGACGACAUUGAUUUAGAAAACUUCGCAAACUUUUACAAGAAUAAAGGAGAUGGAAUUUAGUUUCAUGCCCUGUCUGAUCAGUUCUAUUGUUUGCUUGAGCACUACAAACCUGUUAGAGGAUAAUUCAUUAAGUAACCUCGAUUUAGUCCAAGAAUUUAUGAAGGUUAUCUUCCAAUGACAGUCUUCUGAAUCACCUUGGCUCAGAGUAUGACCCCUUGCCCAAUGAACAGAAUGCUAACGGUCUCUGUUACUAUUUCUAGACUGGUCCUUUGUGUGAAAUGACCAGCCUGGAUUCGAGACCUAUUAUCGGAUUGAUUUGGUCAUGAAAGACGAAGUGCUGCACUCACUAGCUUGGUUGAUUGCCAUCAAUACUGGUAAGAUUUGCAGCAUUCAUAUAAGCUUUAAAGAGCCUAUGAAACAAUAGCAAUGCCGGAUGACUAUUCCUGCAACCAUAGCUUAUUUUCAGCCUUAUGUGCAUCUUCAUCGAGAAGUUACUAACCAUGUUGAUUAUCUUCGAGUUCCUCACCAGAUGGGGGUCCCAAAUCAGCUUUUGGCAAAUUCUGGUUCUGCACUAACCCAUCAGCAGAUCCGUGACAAUGCUAGUGGUGCUAAUGGUGAAGAUGAUACUCCAUCCAAUAAUCAAAAUUGUCUAGUUCCAAAAGAUCUUUUAAUCUCAGAUGAUACAAUACCUGAAUCAGUUCAAGCAGAACCUGUAGUUGUGGCUGCUACUGUUGCUUCUGGUGCUGGCAGUAAAGAUUGCAUCCUUGAAUAUGAAAGAAGGACAAGACAUGAUAACCUCUAGUUCCUCUAACAGGGUUCCAGAAACACAAUGGGUUGAAUCAGUCAAAAUUCGAACCAUUAUAUCUCCUUCCUCUGCUUUGUGCCGCCUAAAAUAGGCAUAGAAGAGAGAAGAGACAUCUUUAGGAAUUAAUUUUACCAUAUUCAGUCUGACAAGACAGCGAAGCUGGUGCUAUGGUUCAGCCUGUUGAUAUUUCCAUAAUUUAUGUUCACGAAUUGCCUGAGAUUAAAGGGAAGUUCGACCAUCAAAGAGCUGUGUCUCUUGGACUAAAAGCUGGACCAAAAUACUGUGAAUUAUAGCUUGGAAAAAUCAGUUCCUGAUGAGAUUACUACAAAAGGAAGGGUGAUCAAUUAGAGAAUGGGGAGUAUGGUAAUUUGAGAUUUGUGUAUAGUGAUCCAACGAGCUCAUUGUUUGGCAGGAAUUUCACAUAGGAAGCAACUUUCUUAGGUGUCAUCAUUGGGACAUUCUUGUGACUAGAAUGUGGUAACUUCUUAGGUUGAGAAGUAACCGUUGAAGUCUUUUCAUCCUCCUUAUCUGAAUUACUAUCUUAUUAGUUUCAUCGUUGUUCGAACUACAAGAAGAACCCACCGGACCAAGUGGGUAACCUCAUCACUGCCCUAACAGCGGCAGCAAGAAAAUGGACCAUGCUGCCACGUGUUCCAGCAUUUUUUGGGCAAAAUCUGGUGAUUUGUCGGCUCUAAUUGUCCUAUAUGGCUAGAUUUUCAGCUUCCAUGAUUGGUAGAUAAAUUUUAGAUUGCAACUGAGCAAAGGUAGAUAGUGGAGGUGAAGCAUAUUCUGUUGGAGAAUCACAAAUCAUGCAAAAUGAUUGUAGAAACUAAUCAUCUAGAUAAUAAAUACGUCAGAAUCUCAUUCUAAAUCUAUAGGAUAAUAAUAUCGAAAAACAUACCUGAAUCCAUUGAGAUUAUGUACUUGGGUCUAGUCUUCCAUGUCUGAAAUGAGUAUUGCAACCUCAAAAUCACUCACUGAUGGGAUGUGAAUAAUAAACAAUUUUUAUAUCUUCUCAUUUAGACCGAGGACCAUAACCCUAUAUAUACCCUUUAUUUUUUUAUUUCUUUUAUUGGCCCAUCAUUAAUAAAUAAAAUAAAAUUGGUCUCUACACAUUGCAAAGCUCAUACAGUCUGUAUAUAUCUAAAUGCUUUAAAGGCCCAUUAUUAACUUAACUGAUCAUAUUUAAUUAGACCAAAAAUAAGAUAGCGUAAUGUACAAUGUGUUAAUAUGUAGACCCAUAAGUACCAAAAUAUCCAACAAUCUCCCACUUGGGCCACAUAUGUCAUUAAACAAUUUGACAUUACAAAAAUAAGCUCAAUAUUUGUAUUGUAACUGCAAAUAUCGCAAAACAAUCUGGUCCAUCAAUUAUACCAAUAUAGAAUCAAAGAGAUCUUCGUUACAUAUUUCACAACUAGAAGCAUCAAUGAUCACCACAUUAAUACAAUUAACAACAGAGAUCAAGUAUGGAUGUGUAGCAUGGAAAUUUCAUGUAAUGUGAUCUCAUAUCAUGCCUAUUUCCAACUGGUCCAACUUUAUAACUCAAAAGAGUUCAACACACUUUCAAACUUUAUGCAAAACUGCAAUUGAAAUAAUAUAAAUUUAUUUAAGAGUUUUCAAUAAGCAAAACAAGAAUAAUACUUAAGUCUGAUUAGAAAAACAUGUCAUUAACUAAUGAACAUCAAUUAACAAACUCCCACUACACAAGCCUAUCACCAAGAAGAACCACAACCAUACAAGCCACAUGCUCAUGAAACACUUUAGGUGGUACACCUUUUGUAAGCGGAUCCACAAUCAUGAAGUUUGUACUAGUAUUUUCAAUAGACACCUGAAAACUCUAAACUAUUUCCUUAACAACCAAAAACUUCAAGUCAAUAUGCUUUGAUUUGAUGAGCUUCUGUUGUUCUUAGAAUAUAAUUAUGUAGCUUUGUUAUCACAGUUUAUUCUUAAUGGUCUCUCAAUGCUAUCAACAAUACACGAUCCAGUGAUAAAAUUCCGCAGCCAUAUUGCUUGGUUUGAUGCCUCAUAACAAGCUACAAAUGUUGCUUCCAUGGUGGAAGUAGCUAUAAGUGAUUACUUAACACUCUUCUAUGAGAUAGCUCCUUCAACCAACAUAAAAACAUAGCCAUAAGUGGAUCUUUUGCUAUCAAUGCAACUAGUAAAAUUGGAGUCAGAAUACCUUAUGAUCUCUAAAUGAUCAGAUCUCCGAUAUGUGAACAUGAAAUCUUUUGUUUUUUGCGGAUACCGCAUGACCCGUUUUGUUGUCUUUUAAUGGAUCAUUCCUGGGUUACUUAAAUAUCUGCCAAGCAUACCAACUAUGUACGCAAUAUCCGAAUGCGCACAAACUUGAGCAUACAUGAGACUCUCUACUGUUGAUGAAUAAGGGAUGUUCUCCAUCUCUUUCUUCUCAAUUUUGUUUUUUUGGGCAUUGAAGCAAACUGAAUUUAUCACCCUUAGCAAUGAGGGUAUUUCCUAGUGCACAAUCCUUCAUGCCAAAUCUACUAAGCACUUUAUCAAUAUAUGUCUUUUGUGAUAAGCCAAGAAUACGACGAGAACAAUCUUGAUAAAUUUGUAUGCCCAACACAAAGGACGCAUUACCAAGAUCUUUCACUUCAAAAUUAUUUGAAAGAAAUAUCUUAGUUUCAUGCAACAGGCCUAUAUUGUUGCUUGCUAGCAAAAUAUCAUCGACAUAUAACACCAGAAGAAUAAAUUUACUCCCAAUGAUCUUGUGAUAAAUACAUUGAUCAACAAUGUUUUCCUUAAAACCAAAAGAGGUCAUCACUUGAUCAAACUUUCGAUACCAUUGACGAGAUGCUUGCUUUAAACCAUAGAUGAAUUUCUUUAAUUUACAUACCAAAUGUUUUGACUAUUUGGAUUCAAAAUACUCUGGUUUCACCAUGUAUAUGGUUUCUUCAAUGUCACCAUUGAGAGUUGUAGUCUUCACAUUCAUCUUAUGUAACUUCAAAUCAUAAUGAGUUACAAGUGUCAUAAUGAUUCUAAAAAAGUAUUUUUCAUUGAAACUUGAGAGGAAGUCUCUUUAUAAUCAAUACCUUCCUUUUGAGUGAAACCUUUGGCGACUAGACGUGCCUUAUAUUUUUUGACAUUGCCUUUUGAAUCCUAAUAAAUCCAUUUGCAACCAAUCGAUUUUUCUCAUUUAGGCAAUUUGACAAGAUCUCAAACAUCAUUGUCUUUCAUUGAUUUCAUCUCAUCUUUCAUGGCUUCUAUCCAUUUCUAGGAGUUUACAAUUUGUUUGGCUUGAUUGAAAGAUAUUAGAUCAUCUUCUAGUCCCAUAUCAAACUCAUGUUCUUGGAGAUAUAUGAUAUUAUCAUUCAGAAUCGUAGUUUUCUUCUCCCUAAUGGGUCUUCUUAAUGGCAUUUCCAAUUAAGGUUGUUGUUGUUCCUUAUCAUGAAUAGGAGAGGGUUCUUCAUUAUAAGUAGGAGGUAACUCAGGAGUGUUUAGAUUUUCUGGAUUUGCAUCUUAAAUAAUGUCAAACAUAGUCACCUAAUCAUUUUCAAUUACAACUACAGGAAUAAUAACAUAUUCCUCUUCAAAGACAAAGCUCUUGAGUCCAAUACUCCCACCAUAUUUAACAUCCUUAAUGAAUUUAGCAUUGCCCAUCUCAAAAAAGGAUUUGCUCAAGGGAUCAUAAAACUUAAAACCCUUUGACCUUUCUCUUACUAUUCUUGAGUCUAGUUUUCUUUCAUUGAGCCUAUAUGGCCUAGCCUCAACUGGACAACCCCAAACAUGAAGAUGCCUAAUACUAGGCUUCUUUCUAAUCCAAAGCUCAUAUAGGGUUUUAGCUACUGCUUUGCUUGGAGCUCGAUUAAGGAUAUAAACUGUAGUCUUUAAGGUUUCUCCCUAAAGUGAUUCUAGCAAAGAAGAAUGAUUUAUCAUACUUCAUACCCUAUCCUUCAAGGUUCAGUUUUGUCUCUUAGCUACACCGUUGGAGUCCCUAGCAUGGUGUACUGAGGAACAAUGCCACAUUCCUGUAAGUAUCUGGCAAAAGUUCCUAGAUGUUGUUCACCUGAUCCAUCAUACCUACCAUAGUACUCACCACCACGGUCUGAUUUAACGAAUUUAAUUUUCAUUUCAAGUUGAUUUUCAACUUCAGCUUUAUAGGAUUUGAAAAUGUCCAAUGAUUGAGACUUCUCAUGAAUCAAGUAUAGGUACUCAUAACGAGAAUAAUUGUCUAUGAAGGUAAUAAAUAUUGUUGACCAUUCCAAGAAAUUGUAGAGAGUGGAUGACAAAUAUCAAUAUGAAUUACUUCUAAGACACCCAAACUCCUAUUAGCACCAACAUUUCUCUUGUUUGUUUGCUUUCCCUUAAUGCAUUCAAUGCAUAUUUUCAAAUCUGAAAAGUUAAGGGAAUCAAGAAUUCAUAACUUGAAAAGUAGGGAAUGCAUAUUUUCACCACACUUUGAACAUAACUUGGAGGUUUCUCUCAAAUAGGGAACUCACAUUCAUCACAGAACUUUGCAGGACUGAUCGGUAAUACAUGCUAGCAUCCAUUGACAUGACCUCCAAUGAUGGGUUGUAAGCAAGCCAUACAUUGUGGGAUGGUUGGUGAUUGGUAUGAAUGAGAAAUUUUAGAUAAAUUGGACAGUGGCCCACAUUGAUGACUGAGAAAAGUGUGUUGAAUGUUGAAUUUGGUAGACGGGUUGAUGACGGUUCUGGUAAAGGGUGCAUAAAAAAUGUCCUAGCUAGCAUGCAAGGUGGGGACGUGGAGAACGGUUGGGUGGGCAUGGUGAUAUGGGAUAGGGUAAUGGUGGCAAGCAUGAUGUUGGAGAUAAGUUGAAGGUGGUGGGUAUUGUCUUGGAGAUAAGCUAAAGGUGGUGGGUAUGGUGUUGGUGAUAAACUUUUGCAAUCAAUUAUCUCUCUUAUAUAGUGGCAUUCCAAUUGACUCGACGUCCAUGCUUGAUCAACUGUUUCAAAAUGUAAAAGCAAACCAGUCUAGCUGCUAAAGGAAGAGGACAAACAUCUCAAGCUUGGCCAACUCCCUGCCUGGACAUCAACUUGUUAUCUUGACUCAUCUGAAAAGCUUCUUGCAAUCUAUCAUUCAUAAAAACCACAUCAACUUUUAGUAGCCCAUUUAAACUAAAACUCUCAAAAUCCUUUCCACAUUCAGCUCAAAAUCACCAGUUUGUACAACGUUUGUAAGUUCAAAGUAUAACCUCAAAUCCAUCUCCAUUUCUUUCUACAAUUUCUGCAGGUCACCUCCGUAGGCAGUCUCAAAUCUACCUUGUUCCAAUGUAUUCUCUUCACUGAAUGACCACCUUUUCAUAGCCAAAAGAUGAACCCUAAGCUUCAUAUAAUUCCAUAUGAACCAGAACUUCAAAUAGACGAUAAAGUUUCCAUGCACAUACAUGUUCAGCUAGUAGAGGAAUGCUCAUGCCAGCUUCCAUGAUUGUCUUUCAAUCCAACAAAGGCCUGCCAUGUGGACCUAGACUCAACAAAAAAUUAUAUUUGUAUUAGGCCCAUGGGUCAUUCUUUGAAGUUGGAAGAUAGUCCACAGUUAACAUGAAGUACAAGGUAAUGACACCACCACCAAUAAUAAGGGUUUUCUUUUUUUAACUUCUACAACAACUUUAAAAAAAGAAUUUUUAAAAAAUGGUAGUUGGAAAAAUAUUGAUAAAUUUACAACACUUUUUGCCACAAUCAAAGGUGUCUUUUGAAGAAACACCUUUCGCAAUUUUCAAAUCCAUGAUAUACACUUAAAAGAAUUGAAUUUAAACUAAAAGUGCCUUUUCAAGAGACAUCUUCUACAAUUCCACAAAAUCCAAUAUAUACUAAAGGUGUCUCUUCAAGAGACCUAUUCCACACUGAUUCAUCCCCAUUGUAGUCGUGCCAUUUGAUUCUGGCCUAAAUGGGUGUUAUCAACAAAAUUUAUAAAACCUAAAUCACCUUACACUAGGGUAGCAUAACUAACAUAGUACAUUGGCUCUAGGAUCGUCCACAGGGAUGGGUUUUCAUCGUACAGUUGACUUAAGUGAAGGAAAUAAAAUAGUGUUUUUCCUUAUGAAAAUUAGAUUUUAAAGAAAAUGGAAUUGUGGUUGCAAAGAUUGAUUUUAAGUUAAGCAAAAACAAUAAGUGAAGUUAGCUACAAAGAAAAGGUCUCUUGGAGCUUUAGGUCACUAGGAUCGGGUUCCUUAGGCAAAGGGGGAGAUUCCGGAUCUUCUCCUCGCGUUGGGGACAAUAACAUAAAGGAUAGUUAUCUCCCGAACCAGUUUUGUAUUUAGCAGUUAAGAUUUGAUCCAAAGGGUUCAUGGAAAAUGAUAGUUACUUCCCAUUAAUGGCUUCAAACACUAAAGACCCUCACCUUGAACCACCUUCCAAUGGCUCAUAAAUGAUAACUAAUAGACAUCCAUGGAUCUAGCAAUAAGCAUCCAUAGAAUCUGAAAAGCUUACUAAUUAUUGGCCAUUCAAGGUGAUUUUAAGGGAUUUAAAGCUAAACCUUAAAAUAAAAACCAUUAAUGGUUAACAACUACUUUCAUUUAAAGCAAGGACAACUCUCAUCUUUACAUUUAGGUCCUUCACCUAGCUUUCCUCACUCCAAGAAACGUAAAACCUAGCCACUCAUCCCCUGAGAAAUCAUCCUCAAAGGUUGUUUGGGUAGAAAGAAAAGUGAAAACAAAAUGAGAAGGGAAGGCAGAACAAAAGCUCUGUAUAUUUCUUACUAUUGGAAUUUUUACAAGUGUUCUCUAAUUACAUCCCUAUGUGUCUCCAAAGAUGGUACACACCCCAAAUAUAUAAAAAGAUAUAUAUGAAAAUAUCUAAGUUGAUUAUAAGGAGAAAAUAGGAAAUUACACAAAAUAUUUGGAGCUAAAAAUCUAACGAAGUCGGUGCAUAGGAAGAUUUUGCAUACCAUGCAAAAUUUCGCAUGGUGUGCGAAAUUUCGCACAACCAUGCGAAAAUGCUAGUUGUUGGAUUUCUUCCUUUGGUUUUCUUCCUUGCAUCUCUGAUUGGCUUGGCAAAGGGCUAUAAAGUGCUUCAAAACUUGGAUUCUUCAUGUAUUUAAGCUUUAACUUGCAUUGCCAUGGAUUUAACAAAAUUCUCCCUCAUUCUUGGCUUGUUGCAAUGAUCAAAUAGCUACCAAAAACACCAAAACUUGCCAAAAACUGAUUAGUAACCCUUGCUAGGUUCCUUAAUGUGUCAAUUGAGUUAAAAUGUAUUAACUACUACUCAAAAGUGUUUAAAAUAGUUAGUUUCAAGCUAUAAAAGAGUACUUUUUGAGUAGUAAUCACACAAUUUCAUAAAUUUUAAUUUAUACAAGUGUCUCUUGAAUUUGAUUUUAUAUAGGUGUUUCUUGAAGAGACACCUUCUACAAUUCCCAAAAAAAAAUGGAUUUAUAUUAAAGGUGUAUGUUCAAGAGACACUUUCCACAAUUCCACAAAUUCCAAUAUAUACUAAAGGUGUCUCUUGAAGAGACACCUUUCAUAAUUUCACAAAUUUUAAUUUAUACUACAAGUGUUUCUUGAAUUUGAUUUUAUAUCAAAGGUGUCUAUUCAAGAAACACCUUCUACAAUUCAAAAAUAAAAAAAUUAAAAAAAAAUUGGAUUUAUACUAUAGGUGUCUUUUCAAGAGACACUUUCCAUAAUUCCACAAAUUCCAAUAUAUACUAAAGGUCUCUUGAAGAGACACCUUCCAUAAUUUCACAAAUUUUAAUUUAUACUACAAGUUUUUUUUUUAAUUUGAUUUUAUAUUGAAAGUGUCUCUUGAAGAGACACUUUAUACUAUAAGUGUUUUUUGAAUUUGAUUUUAUAUUGAAGGUAUCUCUUUAAGAGACACCUUUAGUCAAAAUCUAAUUUUUUGGAAUUGUAGAAGGUGUCUUUUGAAGAAAUAUUUUUCACAAUUCCACAAAUUUCAAUAUAUACUAAAGGUGUCUUGAAUUUUAAUUUGACACGUUUUAUAUAAAAUCAAAUUCAAGAGACACUUGUAGUAUAAAUUAAAAUUAGUGAAAUUGUGGAAAGACGCUUUUAGUAUAUAUUUGAUUUUGUGGAAUUGUGGAAAGUGUUUUUUCAAGAAACACCUUUAGUAUAAAUCUAAUUUUCUGAAAUUAUAGUGUGUCUCUUAAAAAAACACCUUUAGUUUAAGUUCAAUUAUUUUAAACAUAUAUUAUGGAUUUGAAAAUUGUGCAAAGUGUCUCUUGAAGAGAUACUUUUAAUAUAAAAUCAAAUUCAAGAGACACUUCUAAAAAUUAAAAUUUGUGAAAUUGUGGAAGGUCUCUCUUGAAGAGACACCUUUAGCAUAAAUCCAAUUCUUUUGGAAUUAUGGAAGGUAUCUUUUAAAGAAACACAUUCAAUAUAAAAUCAAAUUCAAGAGACAUGGAAUAUGGGUUUGCAUCAUAAAAGAUAAUAUAUAUAUAUAAAUCAACCUCUGCAUCCUACAUGUCUGAAAGUGCAUAGAAUUGGAAUUAUUUUCCAAUCUACGGUAUUUUAAAAAAUCUGUACAUUUAUAAAAAAAAUCCCCAAUAAUAAGUCAUCAUACAUGGCUAUGAAACACUACUAAUUCUGCAUGAUUCAAUCCAAUCUACACAGGAGCAGAGUCGUUUUGAUACCGCCCAAGCAAAUUAGGAGCUCACUGAUCCAGAAAUACAAUUGUUUACAUUGGGAUGCAUCAACAUCAUUAAGGCAGUAUGGAUACUUGAAAAUCUAGUGCAGCUCUUUGACAGCUUCAUGAUAGAAUACUUGCAGAGAACAUGUCCGCACAAUAUCGGUAUUGGCGACUUCUCUUGGGUUGUUUGCUCUCAAGUCACUGGACAUACAAAGGUGGAAUGAAACUAGAGCUUCCUGUUCGAGUCAGCUGGGAUGAUGACAUAGCCAACUGAAUAGAUAAUUCAAUGCAUUUGCGAGCUCCAACUUAUUUGUAUGACUCAAAUAGAACACAAGAUGCACUUCCAGAAUUGUUGGGUCAACUUCUGGUAGUGAGGCCUUCAUCCAUAAGCAUGCUAGUUAAGUUCUGAAUAAGCAACAUGCAUCCAGAUUCAGUUCCAAACUUUGCCAUCCAAUCUUCAACAGUUCUUGUCCGUGUAAUGCAAACAAUUUUCCCCCUACUGUAUUCCUUCAUCUCUGGAAAUACUGAUAUUCCUCUUUAAAUUGAACACCAGAUGGAUUUCCAGAAUUCUAUACCAUCUCUUGACAAUGCUCCAUUAGUAUCCCAUCUUUCAACACAAGAAGGAAAAACUAUGGCAAGAACAAAGUAGUUCCCUAUUUCACUAGGCAUUUUAUUCCCAAAUUCAACUUGAAAAUGUCCAGUACAUUCAGCAGUUUAUGAACUGAGAGGAAAGCCAUUUGAAAAUUUCUUCUUUCACAAGGCAAGUGACAUCUAAAUAGUAGAACCAAGGGUAAGGUUUAAAAGCGACCAAAGAAAACUCUGAAAGCCAAAUUUUACAACCUUUCGAAUGCGGAUCUGUGACUCCGCCAAUAAAAACAGAUUUCUCAAAUCAAUUGCCUUGGAAUUGUUGUCAAUUCAUUUUUCCUACUAGGCUUUUAUGUGGCUGUAACAAUUCUCACCUUCAAGGUUGCCCAUUGAAGACUACGACAUCAAGCAUAGCUUCACCAUUCUCAUCCGAACCUUAACCUUGCAUCUCCCAGAUUUUCAGCAUGGCUACAUAGCUUCACAGGCAUCCAGUAAUUUCUGUGAGUUACAUGCAUGAAGAUUCCCCGGAAACAACCCAACCCAGAUGGUCAAGUCAAUUGGAAUACUCAGCACCCCAAACAUACUAGAAACGGAGGAAUAAAAGCAUGGAUAGGAGCCAGAGUAAAAAGUGAGAUAGCAAAUAAGAGAUCAAGCAAAACAUGAAUGUAUAGAGCCUUAUUUCCAGCGACCUCCAUGGGCUAGUAACAGGUGGAAUUGACAAAGAAUACAAGCAUGAUUCCUAUAUAUCAAGUGUGAGAAGAUUUCAUGCAAUAUAAUCAAUCCAAGCACACGAAACUUCUGCCAUUAAAAAUCAUUUCUAAAAAGCAUGAAAAUGAAUUUAGGAUCAUACUUACCUCCAGCCAUUGUUUAGCUUUCUGUAAUUGGUGAAGUGUUGAUUUCCAAACUCUGAUCUCUCCUUUGUUUUGAUGGUGUAUAUUAUGAAGAAACAGCAGAGCGAGUUCGGGACCAUUUUCUAAAAACUUUAUAACCGUGGCUUCCAUCAAACCACGUUGCUCUUGCCACCAUGUUGAGCAGUUGGUGGAACGUGCUCCUUAACCGCAACGGAAGUGAGAGAUGGUGGAAGUGGUGGACCACAUCAUGAAGUGCUAGACGACGUGGUGAAUGUGUUCAGCUAACAUUCUCCCACUUGGUCCACACCUUUAACCUAAUGUCCUAUCUCAAUCCAUCAAUUAUCCCAUUAAGUAACAAAUACAUGAAUCAUGGCGAUAAGUCCUCUAUUUAACGAGUGUUACAUUCCAUGUAUUACAAUGUACUCAUCUCUUUACAUUAUACUUUAUGUGACAAUAUUACUUAAUGAAUAAACCCUAUGUUCAUUCUUGGUCCAAUGAAGUUAAAUUUUCUCAAAAUUAAAUAAAAGUGCACAUCAAUAUGAGAAAACAUCAUAAUAAGAGUUUGUAUAAUAGAAACUACAUAAUGGAACUAAGUCCCAUGUUCACUACAUGAUCCUUGAAUUUCAACGGUUGCAUGCCCUUAGUUAAAGGAUCAGCGAUCAUCAAUUCAGUGCUAAUGUGCUCAAUAACCACUUUCUUUUCUUUAACACGUUCUCUUAUGGCUAGAUACUUAAUGUCGAUGUGUUUGCUUCGACUUCCACUUUUAUUGUUCUUCGCCAUAAAGACUGCAGCUGAAUUGUCGCAAUAUAUACUCAAUGGCCUAGAUAUUGAAUCCAUAACUCUAAGCCCCGAAAUGAAACUCUUAAACCAUACACCUUGUGAAGUAGCCUCAAAACAAGAUAUGAACUCAGCUUCCAUAGUAGAAGUAGCAGUCAUGGUUUGCUUAAUGCUCCUCCAAGAUAUAGCUCCACUGGCCAAUAUAAAAAUGUAUCCAGAUGUUGAUUUACGUGAAUCAACACAACCAGCAAAAUCUGAAUCUGAGUAGCCAACAACCUCUAAAUUGCUUGUCCGUCUGUACGUAAGCUUGUAAUUUUGGUUCCUUGAAGAUAUCUCAUCACUUUCUUUGCAGCUUUCCAAUGGUCCUUACUUGGGUUACUCUGAUAUCGUCCUAACAUUCCAACAACAAAUGUAAUGUCAGGCCUUGUGCAGACCUGAGCAUACAUCAAACUUCCGACUGCAGAAGCAUAUGGAAUGUUUUUCAUUUGUUCCCUCUCAAGAUCGUUUUUCGGGCAUUGGUCCAGAUUGAACCUAUCACCCUUCACUAUAGGAGAAACACUAGGUGAACAAUUCUUCAUCUGAAAUCUCUCUAGAACUUUAUUGAUAUAGGUUUCUUGAGACAAACCUAAGAUGCCUUGAAAUCUGUCUCUAUGGAUCUUAAUGUCAAUGACAUAAGAUGUCUCACCCAUAUCAUUCAUGUCGAAAUUUUUAGAGAGGAAUUGUUUCACCUCAUGAAGUAAACCCUUAUCAUCGGUUGCAAGUAAGAUGUCAUCCACGUAUAAAACAAGAAAACAAACUUUACUCCCACUGACCUUAAGGUAUAUGCAUUGAUCCAUAACAUUUUCUUCAAAACCAAAUGAAGAAAUUAUGUUAUGGAAUUUUGAAUACCAUUGGCGGGAUGCUUGUUUUAAGCCGUAUAUGGAUUUCUUAAGCUUACAAACCAAUUGCUCACCAUCACUAAAGGGGAAUCCUUCAGGUUGUUUCAUGUAAACCUCCUCCUCUAGCUCUCCAUUAAGAAAUGUUGUUUUCACAUCCAUUUGUUGCAAUUCUAAAUCAAAGUGGGCUACUAAUGCCAAUAUAAUGCACAAGGAAUCUUUCUUAGACACAGGAGAAAAAGUUUCCGUGUAAUCGAUUCCUUAUUUCUGAGUGAACCCCUUUGCAACAAGUCUGGCCUUGUAUCUCUCAAUGUUGCCUAAUGAGUCUUUCUUUGUCUUAAAAACCCAUUUACAACCAAUGGUUUUUGCACCAUUAGGUAACUCAACAAGGUCCCAAACAUUGUUGCACUUCAUGGAACUCAUCUCAUCCUUCAUGGUAUUAUACCACAAUUCUGAUUCUUUACAACUCAUGUCUUGUGAAAAAGAUUCAGGAUCAUUUUUGGCUCCUAUAUUGUAGUCACAUUCCUGUAGAUACACUACAUAAUCAUUAGGAAUUGCUGACCUCUUAGUUCGAGUAAACCUUCUUAAGGUUGCACCAAUAUCUUCUAAGGAAGUAUGAGGUUCAACUUGUUGUUUAGAAAGGUUAGGCAACUCCUGAUCAACUUGAUCUACUGGAAUGUUGUCAACAGCUUAUGGAACCUCAACAACUGGUUGAACUUUAGUGAUUGUUCAUUCUACACCCGAUUGUACUUGAGGGGUGUUAUGAACAAUAAACAAUCUAUCACUUGAAGUGAAAGGUUGAGACUCUGUAUGAUCAAUAUCAGAAACUAUGUUUCUGAAUUGAUCGCUCCCACUGACCAAGUCAUAUUCAAGAAAUUUAGCAUUUCUCGAUUCCACAAUCCUAGUGCUAUGAUGGACAGUAAAAUCUGUACCCCUUAGACUUUUCAGCAUAUCCAAUGAAAUACCGACUAAUAGUCCUUGGGUCCAGUUUCUUCUGCUGUGGAUUAUAUAUUCUCACUUCAGAUGAGCAUCCCCAAACGUGCAUAUGUCGCAAACUCGGUUUCCAACCUUUCAAUAACUCAAAUGGCGUCUUUGGGACGUUGGAACUCGGUUUAAUAUAUACAUUGUUGUCUUAAGUGCUUCAGUCCACAAGAAUUUAGGAAGUUUUGAGCUGCUAAGCAUACUCCUUACCAUGUCCAAUAAAGUUCGGUUUCUUCUUUCUGCUACACCAUUUUGGUCUAAAGAACCAGGCAUGGUGUAUUGGGCAACAAUCCCAUGUUCUUGAAGAAACUUCGCAAAUGGCCCAGGUGAUUAUCCAUCUUCCAAGUAUCUACCAUAAUAUUCUCCACCUGAUUCGUGCCCACUUGGUAUAUUAGUUGAUUCAUGUCCAGCUGGUGCUCCUUGAUUAAGGAAGUAAUCAACAAAAUUUAUAACCUAUUACACCAUGAACUAGGGUAGCAAAGACAAAGCUACUAUAGCAUAGUGGCUCUAGGAUCGUUCACUGGGAUGGGUUUUCACUUCACAAAUGAUAUUAAUUCAAAGUUGAAUUGGUGCCUUUUCAUUUCAAGGUUAGCUUUAAAAGAAAACAUAAAGAUGUUUGAAUGAAAAAUGUUUGGUUUUAAACUAACCAAAAAUAGUAAUUGAUUUUACUUACAAAGAAAAAUGUUUCUUGGAGUUUCAGAUCACUAGGCUUAGAUUCCUCAUACAAAAAGGGAGUUUCGGUCACUUGUUUUUUUUCCUCGCAUUAGAGAAUUAACAUAUAGUUCCUUCUCCAACCGGUGUUGUACAGAUGCAGCCCAUUUAUGAAUUUCAGCAUUAAUUCCUUCUCAUUGAUGCAUCUCGCAAUGGCUCGUGCUUCUCACCUAGCAUUUGCCAUUCAAGGUGAUCUUUAACCUUGGACUUCCCUUCAAAAGCUCGCAAGAGAUAACUAAUGGAUGUCUCCUUGGAGUCCAAAAGCUUACCAAGUGUUGGCUAUUCUAGAAAAUCCUACCUUCAAACCACCUCCCAAAAGCUCGCAAGAGAUAAACUAGUUCAUUUCCAUGGACGGAGAUCACUUGCCUUACCAAGUGUUGGCCCAGGUGAUUUAAAGGCGUUUUAAGUUAACUAAAAAAAUAAAAACCAUUAACGGGUCACACUUUCUCUUCAUUAAAAACUAAAACAACAAAACUUCCAAUUUUUCAUUUGGAAACUUACCCGGCUUUCUUCACUCCAAGAGACGAAGAGCCUAGCCUCUCAUCCUCUGAGGAAAAAUCCUCAGAGUUUUAUUGGCUAGAAAGAAAAAUAACGAAAAAACAAAAAUAUAUAGGAAAAACAGAGCAAGUGCUCUAUAAAAUAUAUUCCUUACUAUUACCAAAGGUUGUCCCCCUCCUCCCGAGAACAGGCUCCCGAGAGCUAUAUAUAAAGAAAAUUACAAAACAAAAUAUCUGAGGUUAUUCACCCCUUUUCCAAACUUAAUAACUAAGGAAUCUUAUAAUUGGUGGGUUACAAGGAGAAAAUGGGGAUUUAGACAUCAAAAAAUCUGAAGCAAAAUAUCCAAAAGUGUCGGUUGCAAAUAUCGGGAAACUUCAGGAGAAAUUUCGUUGCACUAUGCAAAAUGGCUGUGAAAUCAUUUUGCAGCAAAAGGGUGAUUUCGCAGCCGUGCAAAAUACUUCCUUCAGCUUGGAGUGAUCAGCUUCCAAUGUCUAUAACUCCUUCAUUGCAACUCCGAAUCGCGCACCAUUUGAAGUAUUGGAUUUCUGACUUCCUGAGCUUCGAAAUGACAUAUAACAUGCAUAAUUUGGACUCCAGGAAGUGCUCCAAAAGUGGCUAACAUGACUGUCAUCAAGAAUGCUUCAUGGCAGAUUUCUCUUUGCUUCCCCUCCUUGCAUUCCGGAUUUGCUUAUGGCAAAGGACUUCAAAGCUUCGGUUCUUCAUGUUUCUGAGCUUUCCAUUGCUUUUCCAUGGAUUCCAAAGAACUCUCCUCAAUCUUGGAUUGCUUUGGUGAUAAAAAAGCUAUCAAAACACCAAAACUUAACACAAUUUAAUUAGAAUUGAUUGCAAGGGUCCUUAACAUGCCAAUUGAGUUAAAAGGUAAUAACUACUACUCAAAAGCGUUUAAAAGAGUUAAUUAUAAGCUAUGAAAUAGCACUUUUUGAGUAGUAAUCACCACCUCUAUCUGGUCUCACGAUCUUAAUUUGUUUACCACAUUGUUUCUCUACUUCUGCCUUGAAAACUUUAAAGGCUUCUAAAGCUUCAUUUUUGUUAUGAAGUAUGUAGAGAUACAUGUAUUGUGAGAAAUCAUCUAUGAAAGAGAUGAAGUAUUUCUGACCAUGAGAGUCCAUGUCAAGACUACAUAUAUCAGUAUGUAUGAUCUCUAGUAUGGCAGAACUCCUAGUAGCACUUCUCUUUAACUUGUUGGUCUAUUUUCCCUUAAUGCAGUUCACACAAGUCUCAAAGUUAGUAAAAUCUAGAGUACUAAGUACCCCAUCAUUCACCAAUCUUUUGAUUCUAUCUAUGGAGAUAUGACCUAAUCUCCGGUGCCACAAUAUAGAGGAAUCCUCAUUAACAACACAUCUUUUAAUGCCAGUUUGGACAUGUAAUGAAUUAUGAGUGGUAUCAUUUUUUAAGAAUAUGCAAUAAAGACCAUUAGACAAAAUACCAUUCCCAACACAAUCGGAUUUAUAAAUCAAACUGAAAGAUGUUUCUGAAAAAUGAAAAGAAUAUCCAAACGAUACAAGUUUAGAACUGAAAUCAAGUUUCGUGAGAAACUUGGUACAUAAAAGGUCUUUUGCAAUUCUAAAACAAAACCACCAUUUAAAUUUAAAUAACAUGUCCCUAUUGCUUCCACAUGCGAGCCCAUCUUGUUUCCGGAUAAGAUGAAUUGCUCACUUGUCACUGGCUUCCUUAGGUUUUGCAUAUCCUGCAAGGAAUUUGAAAUGUGGAUUGUAGAUCUAGAAUCAAUCCACCAUAUGUUGGUAUUUACAUUAACCAUAUUAGAUUCAUAACAAACAAAUACGGUAGGGUUACCUUUUUUCUCAAGCCAUUUAUGAAAUUUCAGACAUUUCUUCUUCAUGUGUCCUUUCUUUUUACAAAAAAAACACUUUUCGUCUUUCUUAAUGUCAUAUUUGGGAGGAAUUUGUUGCUUUCCUUUCUGAUUGGCUUGAGAUUUUCCUUUCUUUCCUUUCCUUUGCAUCACCAGCAUGACACUUUCUCCCUAUUCCAUCAAUAACCUUCUUUCCUCUUGAACACACAUGAUCAUCAAUUCAUUGAUAGACCACUUAUCCUUAUGUGUGUUGUAAGAGAUUUUGAAAGGUCCAUACUGAGGCGGAAGAGUGUUAAGGAUAAAGUGCACCAAGAAGGAUUCAUACAUUUCUACCUCGAGCUUUUUCAAUUAAGCCACUAUGUCCCUCACCUCCAUGAUGUGUUCGCGUACACCUCUUAUACCAGUGAGCUUCAAGGAUGUGAACUUCAUAAUCAGGGUGCUUACCAAGGCUUUGUCUGAAGUGACGAAUUGCUCGUCAAUAGCCUUGAGCAAUUCACGGACAUUCUCAUGUUACUCGAUCAAACCACGUAUACCAGCACUAAUUUUUGUCUUUAUGUACAUCACGCUGAGCCGAUUAGAUUUCUCCCAACGUUCGUACAAUAGUAUUUCUUUAGGUGUGCUGGUAUCAGUGAUCUUAUGUGGUUCAUCUUUCCUUAUGGCAUAGUCUAUGUACAUGCACCCUAAUUGAAGAAUAAUUCUCUCCUUCCAUAUCUUAAAGUUAUCUCCUCUAAGUUUGGGAACCUCACAACGAAUAUCAGAUAUGCUAGGUAAAACUGCACAAAAGGAUUACAAGCUUAUUAAAAAUUUGAGGCUUUAAUAUAAAUUCAUGCAUUACUAAUGUAGAACAUGCUUAAAAUUGAAUCUAAUUUUAUUAAAAAUUGUCUGUGGGCUAAAUCUUUAAUUCAAUCAGAUUAAUUAUCUUUAUGAUAGACUUUAUCAAACUAUUUUAUUGAAUUAUGAAAUUUAUUAUGAAUGUAGUUUGAUAUUUUCUGUUUAUAAUCUUUAUGAUAAACCUAUUAAAUUAAUUCUUCCUAACUCCUGUGGGUAAAUUAGGAAAAAUUAAUUUUAAUAUUUUAUCAUAAUUAAUUAUAUAAACAUAAUGAAAACCCUGUGGGGUAAAAUCAUCAUAUUUAUAUAGUUAAUUACAAUUAAUGUCUAUAAUGUGAUCCUUAUUAAUAUAUAUAUUUUAUAUAAUUAAGGAUGCUAUGGCUAUUCCUUAAUUAUUUAAAAAAUCAUAUGGAUUCACUAGACAUUAAAACUAUAUGAUAUAAUUUUAAUAUAUCUAACUAAAUUUUAGGCAAUAAUUGCAUGCAUUAAAAGCUACAACUUUUAAUUUAUCUAACUCAAAUUUAGGCUACAUUUUUACACAUACAAACAUAUAAAUUAAAAUAAAUAAUUUAAUUUGCAUGUAUAAAAAUCACAUAUAAUUUAGAAUAAUUUAAAAGGUUUCAAAUUAUGAAUGGGUGCCUAAACCCAAUAAAAUUAUUUCAAACGGGUCAUAAUUGCCUAAAUUGGCCCAAAUUUCACAAUCAGUUACAAGCCCAAUCAAUAAUAAUUUAAACUGGGCCAUAAGUGCCUAAAUUGACCCAAUUUUAACAAUUAACCCAUGGCCCAACACUUAAAGCCCCUUAAUUUAGUAAAAUGGGCCAUUGCCAUGCAAUAAGCUUAAUAGGCCCAAAAGUCACUUAUACCAAGGCCCAAAAAAAACUUAGUAGAACCCAAUCUCUCUCUAGUUUUAUUUAUUUUAUUAUUAUCACUUGCAACGAAAUAAACCCACCAUCCUAAUUUUACGCCACCCCGUGGACUACUUCAUCACCGAUAGCCACGUACUCGCCGCCACCCACGUGGACUGCACCAUUAUCAGCUAGCUAUGGAGCCGCUUGCAACACAUGCAAGAACAGCCCCACGCGGUGCCUUUCAAGAUGCCUGCAUCACUAGUAGACACUAUCUAAGAAUGCACCAAUUUCCUAUUAGCUGUUGAAAUUUGAUCAACCUAGAGGAAAUAUACGGCUUUUUGCAGAAAGCCAUUUAGAGCUCUUAGUGGCCACUUUUACCUGGGCAGCUCACAGGAAUGGGUUGAUUAUGGUGGCUGUGAGUUUAAUGGCUCUUGUGGUGGGUUCCACAUUAAAGAACAACCCAAAAUAUGGAUUUUGAUUUUCUGAAAAAAUGAGAUGGAGAACCAGGUCCGGUAGAGGGUGAUCAAGGAGAACAAAGCCAAAGUGAUGUCUCUGAACCACAAAAUUGAAUAGGAUUUGUUCAAGUAAGGUCAUCUUUUGGGGUAGUGAUCCUCUAGUGAUAUCUCAUAGUCUUACUUAUUAUUUUGGUUUGAUCUUUCUUUCCCCAUAUAUUUUCUCGACAGCAAGCAAUAUAUUUUAUUUUGAGUAAUGAUUUUGAUAGAUCAUCAAACGGAUAUUCCUAUCAAGCAUACUGUAUGAUUGUAUUUUAUAACCAGAAAAGGAAACAUUAACUAAACAAUUUUAGUGCAAAAUAGAUACCAAGGCAGAGGCAAGGCUUUCAUAGCUCUAAUACCAAAUGUGAGAAGAUUUCAUGCAAUAUAAUCAAUCCAAGCAUACGAAACUUCUGCCAUUAAAAGUCAUUUCUAAAAAAAAUGAAAAUGAAUUUAGGAUCAUACUUACCUCCAACCAUUGUUUAGCUUUCUGUAAUUAGUGAAGUGUUGAUUUCCAAACUCUAAUCUCUUCUUUGUUUUGAUGGUGUAUAUUAUGAAGAAACAGUAGAGCGAGUUUGGGACCAUUUUCUAAAAACUUUAUAACUGUGGCUUCCAUCAAACCACGUUGCUCUUGCCACCAUGUUGAGCAGUUGGUGGAACGUGCUCCUUAACCGCAGCAGAAGUGAGAGAUGGUGGAAGUGGUGGACCACAUCAUGAAGUGCUGGACGAUGUGGUGAACGUGUUCAGCUAACAUCAAGUUCACGGAUGAAGCCAUGCAUCAGCUACUUACAGGAGAAGUCAGAGAAACCAAGAUAAAAAACAAACAAAGCAUAUAUGGAAAUGAACAGAUUCGACAAAGUAGACGGCCUGAACCAAUCAAUAAAAUAACACCCAGGAAUCUGCAGAAAAAUUUAGGGGAAUAAUAUGAAAAUGAAGAAACGUGAAGUUCACAGAGACCUUACCUACAAUUCUUUUCCGUAGCUCUCAAAAACUGUCUCUUCAAAAGUCCCACCAAGAAAAUUUUAAUUCCUCCGCUCUUCUCUUGCUUCCCGCUCCAAAAAUUUGUGUAUCCCUUCCUCAUUUUCCAUGAAAAGUCUAUCGUGGUGGUGCCCUUUUUUCUUUCCUUUUCAAUGCUGCCUGUUGGUUCCUUCCCCCCUGUGUGAUGUCUUUGCCCCUUUUUGUAUGGCAGCCUUAGAGGAUUUAUUUAGGAAGGUGGACAAUGCUCCUCCAUUUCGGAAUAUCUCUUUCUUCAUUUUCUACAUGAUGCAUGAAAGAUCUGUGGUGCAACCUAUUUCCAAAAAAAUCUGGAAUAUGGUCCGGCUCAUAUGGAGAUUCUUUUUCCCAAUUCCAUAAAAUAUUUUAUUUUAUUUAUAAUUUUUUUAUUUGAUUUCAAGUUGAAAAUGAAUCUCACCUAUGGAUAAUACAUAGAGGGAGGAUGAACAAGUGUUUUAAAAAUAAUUUGAGAUAGUACCCACAAAUGCUUAAACAAUGCCUAAAUUUUCAGUUGCUUUGUCUUUCUUUUCCAAUCGUACUAACAAUCAAGCAAAACACACAAGCAAUAUUGAUGCACCAAUACUCUCUCAACAAAAUAGUUAAUGCAGUUCAUAUGCAAAUGAAUCAACAUUCCCUAACCAAGAUAUAUAAAAAAAUUUAUCAACUCAAAUAUAUUUCAUCAACUCAAAUUCAUAUUUUCUCAUGUGCAUUAAUAUCAAAACUGAAACAAAAAUAAUUCAUUCUCUUGCAAAGCAUAAAUGAUCAAAUUUCAGGUCAUAAACUCAAUCUCUCAACAAAAUAAAUCAAAGGAAAAUUGAUAAGCAAAUAGAAAACUAAUCAAAAGAUGAGAUGGGAAUGAAAAGCCAAUGACACCAAAAUUUUAAUAUGGAAAACCUCCCAAGAGAUAAAAAAAUAAAAUAAAUAACAGGUCUCAAGUGAUAAAAAAAUCCAAUAUGAAGAAAAUUAAAUGAGUUAGAAUUUACUUAGCCUAAGCCUGUAAUCCUCUCCCAAACCACCUGCUUAGAAUCUUCAAACUUCAGCUAACCACUUUCUUCUCUUGGAUCAUACUUGGAUUCCACACUAAUCAAUGGAUUUUUUAAAUUUAUCAUAUCAAAACAAAAGUUUUAACCUAAUUCAACUAUCCUAAGGUAGCUUUUGCUUGAUAAAAAAAAAACUCUUUACCAUAAGCUAUGGUAGUAUAGCGGUUUUAGGUAUCAUCCACUAAGAUUGAUUAAUCCUGGUAAUUAAUGCUUGAAUGGGAAGUAAAGAAAUGAGUGCAAUCAAGUGAAAAUGUGAUAAAUCAUAAUAAAAGAUGGAAAUGACAAUGAGUUCAAAUCCUGAAAAACAAUUCAAUCUAAAAUAUUAAAAAUUCUUAAAGAAGAUCAAUAUGAAAAAAAAAAACUCUUGGAGUUAGGAUUCUCUAAGAAACAAUCUUUAUAUGGUGAAUAGGGAUUGAGAUCUAUUCUUCAUUAAGUUAUAUAGAAAAUAUAAAUUUUCAUCUAAACUGAUUUUUUUAUUUACCUUUUACUCUAGAUCUAAUUUAAUUUUUCUUCAAAUUAGGUCAUGUAAUUCAAAAGAUUGAUUCCAUUCAUAUAUUCAAUUCAUCUAAAAUCCAUCUUCCAAUGAUUCAUACAAUGCAACUAUUCAAUAACAUCUUAUUAAAUCUAAAUUUAAGAAUUUAAUAAAUCUACUUAGUUUGCAUUGUAAUAGUCAUUCAAGAUAAUUUUAAGAGAAAAAUCCUCAAAAUUCAAUUAAUCAAUUAAUUAGAUCAAAAUACCUGGACAAUUCAAGCUUCAAUUUAUUAAAUCAUCAUAGAUCUCGCUUCUAGAUCCUCCUUUCUUUGAGAAAAAUGAGAUUAAGCUACACAGGUUUUGAGAUUUGACCUCCUAAUACAUGUUUAACUAGUGAGAAAAUAAGAGAAAAUAAAAGAAAGUUGUAUUUGAUAAGAAAAUCUCCGAUACAAAACAACUAAAAUUGAAUAAAAAAAUCCUAAAUGAAAAUCUCUAACUCCUAUUUAUAUCCAUGGUCAAAUGAACACAUGGCAACAUUCUAAAGAGCAUCUAGAACCUUUCUUUAAUCAAAGGUUACAAUUUGAUUUGCAAUCAAAACUCACAUAAGAACUUCCUAUUUCGCAUAGGUAUGUGAAUUGAUAAGAAUUGAGCCAAAUAGCUUCCAAAAAGUUGCAUAAUGCAUCUUUCUAGUCAUGUUGGCAUGGGCAUGUGAACUUGGCCUUCUCCAUGUGAAAAUUUCAUUAAAAACAUAAGACCAUGCGAGAUCACUCCUCUCCCGUGCAAAAAUACUCUUUUUGAACUCAUCUUUGAUUUUUUAUUUGGCAUGGCUAUGUGAACUUCAUAUACCAUGCCAAAUUCAAACACAAAGCUCUUUAUAUCUGCACCCUUGCUAGUCCAGUUCUCAUGACUAUGUGAACAUAGCUUCCUUCAUGCUUGAAUUUCAUGCCAAUUUGUUUUGUUUUUUUUAGAAUAAGCACAUUGACCUCUUUUCAAGAUAUCUCAACUCAAUUCAAAAGUAAUUCAUUCUUCCGAGAUGAUUAAAUCCAAGUUUCAAGAUUGAAUUUACUUUUUCAUUUUAUACUCAAGGUCUAGAGUGCAUAGUCUAUGACAUGAUUGAAAUAGAAAUAACACUUUUGAAAAUGGAGAUUUUAAUAUCAUGUCAACCUUACUCACAUGACCAAUCUUCUAAAAUCAAGCAAACAUAUAGGUAUUCUAAGUUAAUCUCUUUCAACUAAGUAUGCUUAAUCAUCAAUCAUCACACUAGAAUAUCUAAAAAAAAUCAAUCCCUUAAAUUGUUCAUAUGAUUUAUGGAAAAAAAAAAAUAGCAAAAACUAGCUAACACAUGACAAACAUGAAAAUAAACAAACACAUAACAACUUAAAUUUCCAAUCUCUUUCUUUUUAUCCCUCUCAACGAAACUAUACAUUGUCCUCAAUGUUCAAUGUAAAAAAGAAAAAAAGAAAAAAAGGAGGAUACCUCCAAUGUCAAUGUUUUCCAACUCUAAUGGCUAAAAUAAAAAACAAAGUCAAUAUAUAAGUACUCUAGGAGGAAUAAAAUCUUAUAGAGAGAGGCAAUAUAAAACAUCACCAAAUAAAAAAGAAAUUACAAAAGAUUGUGGAAUAGAUAUUAAAAGAACUAAAAAAAAAAAACUAAAAAAACCCAAAUAGAGCACUUUAUCUCUCAUCAGGUAGUAGAAGUAGGAGCAAAUGAACUAUUAGGCACUAUAGAGGUAGGUAGAGAAAAUAAAGAAUUCAUCUUGGAUGAAGUAACAUCAAGUGUAGCUCUAAGUGUUGCAAACACAGUCUCUUAUAACUCAAUGUCAGUAGAAGGUCUCUUUUUACUCUAUAACGUUCGGUCCCUGAAGUAAAUGCUCCACCUCAAUAAUAGUAGUGAAGAAAGGUAUGCCAAAAGUAAAUAGUAAAGUAGUUAGUACUUUACUACUGAAUAGUAAAUGCCCAACAGUAGUCUCCCUAUUGGAAGUUAGGGUAGUGGCUAGAAUGUCUAAAGUAUAGAUAGAAUGAGAAAGAAAUUAACAAGAGCGAGCACUUGAUAGGUUUCUCAAAAUACCUAAUAAUGGUGUAGCUGAUUGUUAUGGUGGUUAAAACUUGUAAGAUCAUCAACCCUCUUACUAAGCUCUUUGUUAGGCAUGAUGAAUGGCGUUUUGGGUACCCUAUAGUAAGUCUAGUCAAGCAAUCAGUUGUUGAAAAUCAAUGGUUGGAGAUUGGUCAAGUGUAAUAGAAGAUGUAGGGAUAUAUAUAAUUAAAGGGGGAGCAGGAGAUGAACCUUGACAUGUAGAAACUAUUAGAAAGAUAGGGACUCCUAAAACAAGAGUGUUUAGCUCAGGUGUAGAAACAAUUGGUGAAUGUGGGAGAGAAUCAUCACCAUUGCUCCUAGUCUCCUCAAAGGAAUCAGCAGGAGGCUAAUAAUGAUGCUCAACUUCAAAUGUCAAAGAAGUACUCCCAAUAGUAUUUGUGGACCCACAUUUUUCAAGUGUGUCCCCACUCGAUGGCUAGACUCAUUUUUUUUUAGUAAAAUAUUGAUUUUAUUUUAAAAUUGGAGUUACCACUUAUUUUUAUUUAUUUUUAAAGGUAAAAUAAAAUAAGAAAUAAAACCCUAAAAUAUGACUCUUUAUUUGGAAAAGAAUGUCUUUGAAAACCGAGUCUAAGUUCAGGGGUUAAGUUACCUAUCAGGAAGGUAUCAUAAGGUGGCACCCCUCUAAGCCCAAAAUAAAGGUCUUUACUAAUCAAGUUGAAGUAAUUAUAACUAUUGAUUGUAAAUAAUGGAUACUGAAAAACCGAAAAUCUAAUAAGAAACACCCGAGGGGAAGUGAAUGGGUGAUUUAAAAUUUUCAAUACAAAUUUAUAUGUAUUAUCCCCAAUUUUUUAUUUUGAGAGAUACCAGGGAUACCUUAUAUAACCAAAUGGACUAUACUUUAAAUCUUUAAGUAUAAAAAUAUGAUUUUUAUCUUAUAGGGAUAACCUGUGAAAAUUAACAUGAUUACAAAAAUUAAAAUUUAUGACACUUCAUUUCUUGGCGCUUUCAUAAAACGUCAUUAUUUGGCUUAUAAUUGGAUAUAUAAUGACACUUAUUAGAAACAUCAUUAUUUGGUGUACUUGUUAAAAUUUUAUGGUGCUUAUUAGAAGCGUCAUUGUUAGAUGUGGCUUAUUUAGUUAUGGUUGAGUGAAUAAUGGCGCUUAUUUGAAGGGUCGUAGGUUCAUUACUCAACCUUGGCGCUUUUUCAAGGUCAUUGUAAUAAUCUAGAAACCUUGGCUCUUUUUAUAAGCGUCAUCUGCGCUUCUACUUUAUAUACCCUCAUUUUCCAAUUUAAAAACAUUCUCAAACCCUUCAUUCAGCUCCCACCGUCAAACCCAACAAACCCUCAACAUUUGUAGACCUUGCACAUGUCCGAUAACUUGAAAGGCAAACUACAGACGAGCUACCAUCAGAAAACUUCACCAACACUUCUAACCGACACUCACAGUCAUCGUCUUCAAUCGACGAGCCUCCAUAAGCUUUGCAUGCAACUAGAAAGCUCCACUUUUGGACCAACAAGCUACCCGAGAGCUAAGUUCAAAAAACUCGAUCAUGGUUCUCUAUUUUGUGAGCUUUUGAUUGAUUCACUUUUCUCUCCUUAGAAGAUAUAUAUAUAUUUUAAUGUAAUUAGGGUUUUUUUUUUACGCAUUUGGGAUUGUGUGGAUUGAUUAAGAAAAGCCUUCAGAUUAUGGAGAAUGGAUUUUGAAAAAAGUCUAAUAAUCUGCUCCUUCUAAAGUGGCUUGGAAGCCCACACAACAUUGGAGGUCUUGACAAGAAGGUGCUUUGCUUCUUGAACUAGUUUCACAAGAUUGGUUUUUGUGUUUGGGAAGUUUGUAUCCUGUUUGGUUGGUAAAAAAAUUUAAGGGUAAAAAGAGAAGGUUUUUGACUUCUAGUAUACAAUUAAUAAAAAAUGACAAAGAAAUGAAAAAUUAGGGCAAAAUGUUCAAACAUUAAGUUAAAGUAAGUGGAAUGUUAGAAGAGCUCAGAGAAAAGAAAAUUUGUUUGUGGAAUUCGUUCUAUUUUUUUUUUUUUUUUCAUAAUUGUACAUUUUAUGGAGGCUUUGAACAAACUUUGUUAUAACAAAUUUUUAUAGCUCACCAUUUUUAUUAUAUGUUACUCUCAUAUUAAUGUUGCUACAAAUACUAAAAAUACCCUAGUAAUUAUUAAUACUCCCCCUCAAGAUGGAGAGUAUAUAUUGUUAACUCCCAUCUUGAUGAGCAAAAAUUCAAACUGAGUUGGGAAAAAAACAAACUUUGUUAGCAUAUUUGCAAGCUGAUGUGAGGAAGAAACAUAUAGUGUCUUCAGGAUACCAUUAUGGAUUUUCUCCCUUAUAAGAUGGCUGUUGAUUUCAAUAUGUUUGAUGCGUUCAUGAAAGACCGAGUUUGCUCCGAUAUGAAAUGCUACUUGGUUGUUAUAGAAUAACAAAGUUGGUCUAGGAUUAUGCACAUGUAGAUCUUUAAGUAAGGCAAGUAACCGCAUUGUUUCAUAGGUGGCAUUAGCCAUGGAGUGAUACUUCACUUCAGUAGAUGACCUAGAAACAGUAUGUUGUUUCUUGGAUUUCCAAGAAACUAGUGAAUCCCCAAUGAAUACAUAAAAGCCACUGAUUGAUUUUCGAGUAUCUGGACUUGAUGCCCAAUCUGAUUCAGCAAAUCGCUUCAACUUUACUAAGGUUGAGGAUGAAUAAAAUAAUCCCAGACCAACAGUUGCUCUUAUGUACGGAAGCACAUGACAAACAACUUGCAUAUGAGGAACUCUUGGCUGAGCAAGGAAUUGACUUAAGCUACCAACUGAAUAAGCCAAAUCAGGUUUUGUUACAGUCAGAUACAAAAGUUUUCCUAUUAGCCUUUUAUAGGUGUUAGAAUCCUUGAGCAAUUCACUAUCAUCCUUUGAGAGCUUCACACUUGGAUCCAUAGGAGUUUUUCUUGUUUUGCAACCAAGAACGCCCACAUUCAAAAGAAGUUGCAAAGCAUAAUGAUGUUGGCUUAACAUGAUUCUCUUGUUUGAUUUAGCAACCUCAAGACCUAAAAAAUAUUUUAAGUUUCCAAGGUCCUUCAAUUUAAAAUGACUAUCAAGAAACCUCUUCAACUGAUCAAUACAUUCUUGAUUAUUGCUAGCUAUGAUAAUGUCAUCUAUAUACACUAACAAAGCAAUGAAAUUAUUAUUAGUGAGUUUCACAAACAAAGUAUUAUCUGCAACAAAUUGAACAAAUCCUUCAUCAAUGAGGACAGUGGAGAAUUUUGAGAACCAUUGAUGUGAAGCUUGUUUUAAGCCAUAGAGGGAUUUUUGAAGCUUGCAAACGGUAUUAGCAGCCAAUGACUCCCCCUCAU
rnacentral:lncRNA from 1 species